rnacentral:lncRNA from 1 species
UGUAUUCAAUAAUGUUAUUGGUCCCCCAUGUGCAGAAGGGCGCGCGCGUAUGGAAUAACAAGUAGGGACACUGCAACUAAUCUACUCUGCUCGUCCAGUCCCUAGCCUAUAAAUAGAUGCCAUGCUAGCUCUUGUUGUGCUCACAAUUAAUCCGAUUACACACGAGCUUCUCUCCCUGGCCAAGACACAACCAUAGUAUGAUGAAGAACAUGGCACUAGCCGGCAAUGGUAUGAAGAAGUUAAUCCUCGCUGUUCUCUUACUGUGUCUAGUUAUAGGGCAGAUACAAGUGGAAGCUAAGAGCUGCUGCCCAUCCACCACUGCAAGAAAUGUCUACAAUACCUGCCGUUUCACGGGUACAUCCCGUCCAACGUGUGCAAAACUGUCAGGCUGCAAAAUUAUCAGCGGGAACAAAUGCAAGCCCCCUAACGACCACCUCACCCUUGACCCGGACACUGGUAAAUAAUAAAUUUAUCUCACUUGAUUUCUUCGUGAUUUGAGUCGUUAAUGUAUUUUCCAUCUGAUGAAACGUAUUGGUUUUGCAUUGAAGAGGAAGUUAAUGUGCUUAACUUCUGCAAGUUGGGGUGUGCGUCGUCUGUGUGCAACAACAUCAACGCUGGUAAGCAACUUUUGCUCAGACAGAGAAAACAAUAAUCAUUAAUUAGCGGCAGCUAGAAUCCUAUAAUCUAAUAUAUAUAUAUAUAUAUAAUUUUAUCAGCUCUGGGAAAUGAAGAGGCGAACGAUGCCGUUGAGAGUUGCGACCAAGCCUGCUCUAGCUUCUGCAGCGUGCAUGUUGGCAGCGCCACCGUGGUUGCUUAAGCAAAUGCAUCCAACUAGAUCGUCCUUGUGCUGAAUAAUUGGAUAUCGUAUCCACUUAAAGCUGCCUUGUGUAGUACGUCUUUGUGUCUCUCUUUAUAUUCCAAUAAGGUCGGUGAUCUUGAUGCCACACACUCAGAUGUGUGUUCAUCUCCAGAUACUACUCCAUGCUACCUGCCCUUUGUGUUUUGUUCAAUAACUGGGUAUCAUAUCCCAGCCAGUAUGCCGUCUGUUUUGUGUUUGUUUCCUUCUAGUUCCAAAGGGGUCAUCAUGAUGUUACCUUCUUUCAAUAUGGUGCUUUGCAUGACUACUGUUGUAUGGUACCAUCUUGUGGCCAAUAAGUACAUCUUAUCCUAUGACCUUUGCUAUGACCCUUUGCAAAUAAGUAGAAGAUUGUUAUAAGCGUCAAUACUCCGUAUAAAUUGAUCGCUGCUGUGAGUUCCCUUUCAGCUUAUCGUAGGCAUACAUUAUUGCUAGCACGGUAAAGCCAACCAACACGAAUGAUGAAGUAAACGUAGCGGUACUUCUGUAUACCAACACCCUUACUUAAAUGUACCGGUGUCAUUCCCUACUGGCACAUAUAUUCUUAUAUGCUAGCCAGCUUGUAAAAUUAACCAAUUAAAAUAAUUAUUUCAAGAUAGAAAUAACUUAUCGGUUUCUGGAAGCAUGUGUAAUGUGAAUUCAAGGACUCGACGGAAGUUGAAUCACUUCAUCUAUAUUGCUUUCAGUAUUUUGGGUAACUAAAUUUAACAUUUGCACAUACAAAUGUUAAAGUACAAAUGUUAAAUCUAGUUACCCAAGCAGAAUAUGAAGAUAGUUUAUAGUAUAUAUAUACUAUAUAAAUCUAGUUAACAUUUAGUCUAAAUGUUAAAUCUAGUUACCUAAAAUCCUGAAAGCAAAAUGUAUAAAUAUAUAUCUUUUAAGGCAGUAUAAGCUUCGAUUCCUAUUGCUGCUCUGUUAAAUCUCAUCUUUCGUUGUGGCCCAACACUCUAGUAUGCAUGUUGCACCAAGCUUCUUUGAGCCGCUCUGCCCUCUGAUUUUGCUGCGUAGGGGAAUCUUUAUCAGGUUGGGCUACUUCCAGUUGUGCGAUGUAAAGAUUCGUAUUUUCUAGAAGGUAGACAAAAAACUCGCGUUCUCUUAAGGCAACAACCGGAAGAUUCUGCAGCGCACAGGGCAUACCAUUAUUGUAGAAACGACCUUUAGUACCGAUCUCCAACCCCCUUUAAAACUGGUUUUGCAACCGGUACCGUUAUGUCGGUCCUUUAGUACCAGAUCAAAUAAGUACCGGUUGGUAACCAGUAUCAACUUGUUUUGCGGCCAAAAAAAUAAAGAAAAAAACAGUCAGAAGGCUCGCGCACACGCGCAUCACAUGAAAUAUGCGUGUGCGGGGUCCAUGGGAUUCGAACCCAUGAAAUCAAGCUGCGCGCGACCCUUCGUUACCAUCUCACCUACAUAGCGCAUAUGCUUUCCUGAAGUAACCCGUGGAGGAGGCUUUAGUACCGGGUCAUAACACCACCCGGUACUAAAAAUGACUCUUCAGUACCGGGUCAUAACACCACCCGAUACUAGUAUCGGAUGGUGUAAUGACCCGAUACUAAAAGGCCUCUAGGGACCCUCAAAUUUGAACCCGGUACUAAUGCUAAUAUUAGUAGCGGGUCAAAGUGCAGCCAGAACUAAAGCAUGGGAUGAAAGGUCAUAUUUCUAGUAGUGUAUAGUUGUUGUGAAGGACUGACUUGGCUGUCCUCUCUCUUCUCCAUCCCCUUGGUCUUACGCCGCCGCUCGCACGCGAGCCGGUGCCCAACCAGAGGAGUGAGAGCUAGGGGCAGGUUGGGAGGUGGGGAUAGUGACUGGUGGCCAGGGUGAUGGUUGAUCCUGGUGGGGUUAGGGUUUUAGGGUUUUCGAGCUUCCUAUGGUCGGCGAACCUAGAGGAGGAGCUCAACAUCAGCUGCAACCCGCGAUGGUGGUGGUUUGGCCGGCGCCCGAGGCGAGGCAGCGCGGGAGUGCUGCCGGUGGGUUGGUGUUGGCACUCAUUAUUGACAACUAUUUUGUUCAUAAAAUAACACUCAAACUUGCUGCUGCUGCUGCUGCUGCCAUCGCCACCCUAGCCAUAAUAUAAAGGCAAAAUUUGCUAAAGGACAUGCAAAAUGAUGCUAGUUUGCUGGCGGGCAUCGUUGACCUUGUAAUAUGCUACAAGACACUCUAGUUGUGUAUCAAUUUGCUGAAAGACAUUGCUAUGACUAAAAUAAUGUUUCUGGACUGAGUUGGAGAGAGAGAUGGAGUGAAAUGUCUGUUUUGCCCAUGACCCCACUGGUCAGAUCCUUCUUCUUCCACCCUCCUUUGUUCUUUCUUCAACCAUUACCCAGCUCCAGCGUGUUGCAGAUCUACGAGGGUGGCGGCCUGGGGCGAGGGGCAUCGCUCGCCCUUGGAGGAGCGCUGCGAGCGACGGCGCGGGGGCGGCAACAGCGCGUCAGAACCUGACUGUUCGUUAGCUCCUCUCGCUGCUGGGGAAGGAGGGGGAUGGGCCAUGGACGGGGUUCCCUUGAAAACCUCAGCGUCGAGCUCGGGCGGCUACGCGCAGGCAGCACUAGGCUGCUUCACGGGGAGGGGGCGCGGCCAAUCAUUGGCACCCCACUGGUCCAAUGCUGAUGAAGAUGGUGCCAGCGUCGUGUGAGGACAUCUCAUCUCCUCGAGUUCCAUGGCCAGCACAGGUGAGCUGCCGCUACCACAAAACAGAGGUUUCGUGAGAGUCAAAAAACCUUAUGAAAAUAGCUAAAACCAUCAUGAAAAUAAUCCGUGACAUGACACUCUCACGAAAAUCCUCUCACAAAUAUGGUGCCAUGAAAAUACCAUUUUCAUGAGAGUGAACUGUCAUGAUUUUAUUUCGUGAGAGUAUUUCCUAUCAAUGACCUCCACGAAAUACUUUGUGCCACCAGGUCUUCAAGAUCAUUUUCAUGAGAGCUGAACAUCAGGAAAAGUCCGCCACAAAUGUUUUUCUUGGAGCCCCUAACUCUCAUGAAAAUCAUGCGGGCCGCCACGAAAAACAGCAUGACCAAAUGACAAAUUUCAUUUUCAUGUGUUCAUACCGCCAUGAAAAUGGUCAUUUUCAUGAGAGUUGAUGAAACAAAAAAUAGUGCCAUUUUCAUGAGAGUUCAAGCAACCAGGAAAAGACACUAAUAAACAUCCAGAUCCCAUCCAGCACACAUCCAUGCACAUAUAUAACCCACAUAUUGCUCCAGCACACAUCCAUGCAUAUACAAGAUCCAAAUGUUAAUAUAGUAGACAUCCAUGCCUGAACUAGUCUGCCACACAAGUCAUUGAUGCUACAAAUCCUACAAUCGCAGCAUGUGCAUACAAGUCACAGAAUGAGACAAUGUACCCAAAACUAAAAGGUUAGCAUCAACUGUGCUUCAACCAAAGUUGUCAUCCCAACUCUCCUCUUCAUCCAUGCCAUUCUUGUCGUGGCCGUCACUGUCAGUCCCCAUGGCAUUGCCAAUGCUGUGCAUGUCUUGGUAGGAACCUACAUGUGAUGAACUAGUAACCUGCAAAAAGAGCUCAAAGGAUCUUGUUCUCAUAUUGUAGCUGUGAAAUUCUUACAAGUAGUGUUGCAAUCAGUUCACUUUGAACCAAAAGAGCUCAAAGGAUCUUGUCCUAAAAGUUCCUCAUAAAGCUUAUGGGUUUGCUGGUGGAACUGGAAGGGCUUGAUGCAGCAGAUGCCAUUCUGCAAUAGAGAAAAAUUUAGAGAGCAGUACUAGUUAAAAUUGGAUGCAGAAGAUACACAUGAAACUAGUAUUUAUACAAGUCUAUACAAUUAAAAUCUAAGGAGACUUAUCAUCGUUUUCAUGUGUUGUGAAUUAAAAUAAUGAAGGAUACACUGUUAGGUGAAAAUUCAAGAAACAAAAUUUUGCAUAGAGAUAAAGGUCCAACAUUAUUACAAGUUAAGGUAGUUUUAAAUAUCCUUGUAAUCUUCCUUUGGUUUCCUCAACGAUUCGAAGACAAUAACCUUGCUUCUAUCAAUGAUAAUUAUAAGGAGAAUCCAGUGGAAACUGUGUAUUCGUAUUAGAACUACCUAAGGUUAAUUAGGUUAGGAAAGGAAAUUGAAAAUAGAUGGUACCCACACUUACUUAAAGUUGUCGGGCAAUAGUAUGUAAUGCUUGUAAUUCCGUUGCUCCAAGAAUUUGUAUAUGUGGUCCAAUGUAGACUUUGGUUGAUCCCGUAUCUGCUGUUGGUUAAAUAAGUGUUUCUAGCCAUUUCUAGCCAUUAGAACCGGGACUAAAGGGGGCUCUUUAGUACGGGUUGAUAUUACUAACCGGGAUUAAAGAGCCCCCAUUAGAGUUGGUUUUUGGAUGCGGAACUAACAACUCCUUUAGUCCUGAGUACGAAAACAACUGACAUAUUUGUUGCUGGAUGGAAGGUCCUUUCUCUACCGUGAAUAUUGCCAGAAAGAAUUGAAAGAGACUGCUUGCUAAAAAUAUGUCAUAGAUGUAGACCAAGCUACCAAGGAGGUAGACCAAACAUGAUACACACCAUGCGUACCUUGCUGUGCAGACUAUGCAUUGACAAGAUACCCGACCACAUGUUGGCCUCGGUCACAUCAAAAGAAUCAUGUAGGCCACCAAUAAACUACUUGAAGCGGCAUUCCGUAUCGUAUAUGCAUUGCCGGUUCAUCUGCAUUACAUUACAUAAAGCACUAUUAACUAUUUGAAUAAAAUGAACCAAUUUAAAAGUAAUGUGUUGUACUCUACUAUAGAAAGCCCUAUCACUGCCGGAUCCAAAAACAUCAUUGUUAAUGGUGGUUAAGUACCAAAUAUGACGGUCAAUAUUCUCAAGAAUAAUGGAGAAUUAGCAUUUCUUAGACACAUAUUUGGUUUUGAACAAUGUAGUUCCACAUGUCUUUGGAGAUUAUUUGGGUGUGGGUGAAAUAAUACAAAAAUAAGGAGAAAACACACUCCCAUGGCGAAGAAACACAACUCCAACCAAUGAGAGAUAGCCACAGGGGCAGCACACGGAUCCAUGGGCCCACUAACCGCAUCAAACCAUCUUACCAAGGCAGGUAGCACCCACAACCGUCAUUAGGACCCACCUGGAAGUCUACCAAGAAGAAGGUUGCGAGUGGGGCCAGGAGGGGUUCGGUUGAAUCAUCUCUAGCUAGCUCCCCUCAUCCCCAGCUGGUGGGUGGUGGUGGUUGAUGGUGUCCCUACAUCAGUUAGAGGAGAUUCCCCCAAAUAUUCCUCCUGUAAACCACCUCUAUGGACCUAUACAUAGAGGGGUGUGCUCUCCAUUCCAACACACACCACAAGUUGAAUCACUCUCUCCCUCUUUAGUUUCCAAGUUUAUGGAGUUAGGCUAGAGUAGCUCUGCUCAAGGUUCCAAGUCCACUUGGAGUUAAGCAUAUGUCUCUUGUAUCGUUAUUUCCUAAAUUGACUUUAUGCUUAGUUCUUAUAUGCAUGAGUUAGUCUAAUACCCUUGCUAUAUUGAUAUGCUCGGCUUAUAUGCUCGUAUGCUAGUCAUAUACCCUUGCUGUCGUAGUAUAGGCUUAUAUGCUCUCAUGUGUGCCUGUAGACCUUGCUAUAGUAUAUACUUGUUGUGCAUACAUACCAUGUAUAGGCUAGUCGAUCUAUACCAUGGCAUUGGUUCAAUAGCCAUGUUUUUGGUGGCUCCAACCCUAGUCACAAUAGCUCGGGACAGCUGGAGUGUUGUUAAAAAUGCAAGAGUGGUGCUUGGGUUGUUUAGCAUCGUUGGAUAUGGGUUUGCCCCACGGGUUUCUAACGGUAGGCGGCAGCUAGUGACAUCCCUGUCCGUCCUUCGUAAUCCCCCCACAUUCAGGUACGCCAUAAAUGUUCGUAAAUUAGCAGUAACUACGCCGGUACACCUGUAGGGUAUUGUCUCCCUGUAGUACCUUGGUGCAUAGAACUAAGUCCUAUACACUGUGUGUGUAUGUUUACGCUGAUAUGAUCUGUGCAGUAUAUAGGAUGUAUAUAUGAACCUAGAGCUAACUCCUAGUCCGUUCUCCAUAGCUUAGUUAUCUUGAGAUGAUUCUUCUGUAUGUGUAACACUACCCAUCUUAUCAUUAUCCUUGAUCCUGUCUUGUGUAAUAUAUCUACUCAUCCUAUGAUAUACUCAUAUGCAUAGUAAACUAUUUUGACCUACCCGCCUUCCUUUGGGAAAUAUGAUACCUUGGAAUAAUCCUAGGUGAAAUCCUACAACGGUAUAUCCAUGUAAAUGCGGAUUUAUUCAUGACCAUUAAAUAUACCAACAAUCAUCACUGUGAGUUUUGGGCGUCGUUAGUGAAGGGUUGGUAGUGAUGGGCAUCCCCUUCACCAAUGGACCUGGAACCGGCGGUGAUGGCUAUUAUAAAAAAGGGGACACCACCCAGCGUACCCCACGACCCGGCCGGCCGCACCUCCCAUCAUCCCCGCCAGCCGCCCUUCCUUUUCGCCGGCCGAGCAUGGUCCCGGCCUUUGUCCCUACCACCUCGCCUCCACCGCGACCCCCCGCCGAUGCCCUCGUGCCUGGCCCCCCUCAUCUUGCCGGCCACCCUCCCGAUGCGUCCACUGGGGCCCUCGCACCACCAACCGCCCUUGCUUAGAGAGGGAGAGAGAGGAGGGAGGUGAGGCCACGCACCUCGUCCUACACCGCCGCUGUUUCUCCUCGGCCCACCGCGCCUCACCCCACACCACAGCCGCGCCUUGCCAUCUUACCGGCUGUGACGCCUCAUCUCACCGGCCACCGUUCCUCACCCCCACUUCGGUCGUCGCCGCUCCUUGCCCUACCGCUGCUCUUUGCCGCUGCGAAUGAGCGCCGAGUGGAGGAGGAGGGAUGGGGCAGGAGGAGGGCAAGAUCCGGGAGGAAGGGAGAGAUCUCGGGAGGUGGAGAUGGAAGGAUAUGGCGGAAGGGAGAGAUCCAGAGGGAGAGAGCAGGGGAGAGAGGGGGGCGUGUGGGGAGAGAGCGCGUGUGGGGUGGGGCCGGGCUGGUGGGAUGGAAGGGAGAGGGGCUAGACGGGCGCAGUGCAUUCAACUGGAUGAAGUAAAUAUUUUGGAUUCGAGACCCCAGCUUUAUUAUCACCGCUGGUCCGUAGUACCAUCCGGUGCCUGCUCGUAAUUUAAUUUGAAUCUGCGGUGAUGUUUUAUUAUCACCAUCGGAUCAUAUAAAAAUCCGGCGGUUAAAAAUCCGCUGGUUUCGAUGAAAACCGACGGUGAUAGGAUGACUGUGAUAGUCUCUUCUCUAGUAGUGGUAUAUUAGUACCGGCUGCCGGAUGGUGUUGCCGACCAGUACUUCUCCGGGGGCGAUUCAGUACUGCUGUUAGCAAAGCUUGUUCUCUAUGAAUUUGGGGAUGGAAAGCUAGUUCUCUAGUUGUGAUUUGUUACAUAUAUAUCUAUGAUAGUCUAGAAAUUGCAUGUCCUUCGUUGACAUAGUUGAAGCUGCUUCAAGAAUUUACUUCGUGCAGUCGUGCAGCAUAUUGGAUUAUCACCUAGACAGGAUACAUAGGUGAAGCAUUGGAUGUGAUUGUGGCCGAUAAUUAUGCAGGACGCUGUUGCAAUCAACCACCAAGAAGUCUGGAGUGAUGGGGUUGCCUCAUCAAUAAUUUUUAUAUAUGGCUGCAGUAUUAUUAAGCCCACGUCAAUAAUUUUUUGUCCGCACCAUAUAUCGAUGGGGUUGCCUCAUCAAUAAUUCGCGCAACCAGACAAGCUGCAGACUCAAUAUGGUACGAAGCUAGUUGCUCAGCCCACAUGCUCUGAUAUAACAUUGACAUCUGCUGAUCUACAGUAUAUAUGACCAGAAAUAUUGUGCCCACCUCAAUAACUUUCUGAAGUAUCGUGGGGAAGAACCUACGCGUACUAUGCCUCGGAACUAACUGACAUAUCGGCCCAGGCGGUCUAGGCCGAUUGGACUGGCUCUUCCUUGUGGCUUCUCACAUCCCCUUCGUCCCCAAGUAAUUUCAGGUGUUCUGUAGUUUUCUUUUCACUUGCAUCUGAGCCUCCUAUAUCAAUAGCUUCGGGAUAAGAAUGCCUCUUGAUAACCUUCCAAAUCCUCGCUUGAUUCACAUUGAUUCCGAAAUCAUCUUGCCAUAUCUUCAGAGACUUAGGUCCUAAGGCAUCAUGGAGGAUUGCUCGCCAAGAAUGAGCACCAUUGGGCUCCUGAGGACCCUAGGCCGAUCAGCCCGGGCUCUAUAGGUCGAUUGGCCCAGGCCCUCUCUGGGCCUGUUGGCCUUCAUCUUUCUUUGAGUCGACGCUUAUUCAGGGCUUUGUCCAAUUAUAGUCCAUUAUAGUCUAAUUUCCUAAAAAACAGAAUGUCCUCCAAAAUACAAUGCAUAUGUGAAAACAACCCAAUUAUUAGGUAUGAUCAAUAGUUUAGGUAUUAAAUUAAUAUUAUUAUUUAAGAUAAACAGGGGUAAAGGGUGUCAUUAAUAACAAGCGCCAACAAGCGUCCUAGCUGUUCAAUAAAUUUUUUCUAGUACCGAUUGGUAACACUAACCGGUGCUAAUAUGUACCCUUUAUUACCGGUUAUUUUACCAGGUACUAAAGGAGACAAGAGCAUCCUAACAUAAGGUUAAUAUCAUCCAUUUCAUGAGUAAAAUACUAUGAUUCAAAAAUAAUUCAAAUCCCUUAAGACAAUACCUAUCAAAUGAGUAAAUUGUAAAUAGAGUAAUCUUGAUCAAACAAUGUCCUAAUGAAACGGAACACUUCUGGUUCGUGUAGAGCACAAUAUAGAAAACAGUAGGGUAGCUGUAUGAUUGACACGUGGUCCAUUAAUUAUUGAGCCAACACUAUGGACAUGUCUUCAUGAGUAGUGUACUAGUCAUAAUACAUGGUAUGCAGUAGGUGGAGGUAUUGACUUAGCCAUGCUAUGAGCACUUAGUUACAACAAACACUUUGCCAUUAUCGAGCAUCCCAAAUCACUACAAAAUCCAUAGUUUACCAUAUACUACAAAAUCUGAGUUAAAAUAAGAGCAUACACGGAAGAGUCCGAAUGCACGGCACAUUGAAUUACUAGACAAAAUUUAUGGGACAAGGUUUUGGGUAACCGCAUGAAAAAUAUUGGAUUUUACUGAACACUUAGUUACAAUUACCAUGCCCGUGAGCACUUAGUCACCACAAACAUUUAACCACUUUAGAUCAUCCUGAAUCCCUAUAAAUUCUAUACCUUACACCGUACCAUGAAAACGACAAGAACAGAGACAGAUGCGGUGAAAAUCUCCAGAGCAAGCCUGAAAUUAAAAUAAGAGGAGGCAGUCACUAUCGACAGGACACGGAGAUUGCUAGCCAUGACAGAGGAAGACAUGAUAUGAUAUUCACCUCUGAAAUGCAGCGUAGACUAAAUGAAGCACAAUUGCAAGUGAGUGUGGCAGAUAAUGGACCAUCGAGACCAUCGAAUGGUAUGAAGCAUGAUUAUCACCUAGACAUGAUAUCCUAGACAGGACGGUGAAUUGUAAAAAGAGUAAUCUUGAUCAAAGAAUGUCCUAAUGAAACGGAACAUUUUUGGUACGUGUAGAGCAAAAUAUAGAAAACAGUAGAGUAGUUGUACGAUUGAAACUGCAUCCAUCGACGUGGUGCAUGAAUUGUUGAGCCAACACUGUGGACAUGUCUUCAUGAACACCAUCUAGUGAGGACAGCAUGCAGAAAAAUAUAAAAACAUGUCAUAGGGAGGCAGACCAAUCUUGCGAGGUAGACGAAACGUGAUACACGAUCUGCCUACCUUGUCGUGUGGAUACCCCAAGUGAAGAUGUCAUAGAGGUGCAGACCAAGCUAGCAAGGAGGUAGAUGAAACGUGAUACACGGCCUGCCUACCUUGCCGUGGAUAUUAGUCCUGAUAUCAUUCUAUUGUUCAAGGAAUAACACUCAAUGCUGCUGCUGCUGCUGACCUGGCUCCAUAAAGUUAUAUUCCUCUAGCCGCUUGCACUAACUUUAUCUGAAGUAUUAUUCUCUCUGCACUGUAUAUAUGGUUACGGAGUUUGCUGGAGUAUCCGGGGGGAAGAACCUACAUAAUAUGUCUUGGAACUAACUGACAUUGAUUCACAGACAAGGUGCUGUUGUUGACAUGGUACAGUAAAUAAUAUAGUUUACCAUAUACCGUAUACCAUUAUAUGUUAGCUAAAAUAAGAGCAUAACAUGUCGCAGGAGUCCAAAAGCACCGGUUGAGGACCAGGUACAUUAAAUUACUAGAAAACAAAAGGGGACAAGGUUUAGGUAGCCACAUGAAAAACAUUUGAAUUUACUGUACCAUGAACACUUAGUUACCAUGCCGGGAGCACCUAGUUAACACUAACAUUUAGCCACUUUAGAUCAUCCCGAAACACCAAUGACCCUCAAUAGCGACAAAUUUUGGUUUAAAUGCCGUCACCAAUGAUCCUCAAUAGUGACGUGUUUAGGUUUAAAUCCCAUCACUAAUAACCCUUGGUAGUGACGUGUUUUGGUUUAAAUCUCAUCACCACUGAUCCUCACUAGUGACGUGUUUUUAGCAACACACGUUAUGAAUGACUUGUCAUUGGUGACAUGUUAAACGCGUUAUCUCAAUGGCAAAUCAAUGGUGACGUGUUUAAAAAAACAUGUCACUGUGAGAGUUAUUGGUGAAGGGUAAUUAAAAUGCAUCACUAAUUUUGUAGCAUUAGUUAUGAUAUAAUUUUGUAACGCAAAAAUCUACCAUAGUAAUGAGGUUUAGAGCCAUCACUAAUGUGGGUUUCUUAUCGUAGUGAUGCAAGCUCUACAAGGUGCUGUUGUUGCCAUUUUAAAGCAUCCCAAAUGACUACAAGAGUCCGGUUGAGGACUAAACAAAUUGAAUUACUAGAACCAAAUGUAUGUCCAGAACAAAGAAAGGGGUCAAGGUUUGGGUAACCGCAUUAAAAACAUUGAAUUUUACUGUACCAUGAACACUUAGUUACCAUUACCAUGCCUUGAGCACCUAGUUACCACAAACAUUAAUUUAGCCACUUUAGAGGUUCCACAAUCACUAUAAAUAAUAUACCAACACCGUACCAUGAAAACAUCAAGAAGAGAGACGGGUACAUGGACCACCAUCAAGUGAGUAGUGACAGCACGCACAAGAAUACCCGGAACCUUUUAGCUUGUCUGUAGUGAUCUGUUUUCUUCGCCACAAAUAAUGAAAGAGGCUGACCAAGCUAGCAACGAGGUAGAGCAAACGUGAUACACGUAGGUUUCAUUCAAGACAUCCAUGUAAGAUUCAUUCAAAACAUUCAUGGAAAUUUCUUGUAAGUUUUCAUGUAAAUUUCAUUCAAGACAUUUGUUAGAGGUGUUGUAUAUACACUUAACGUACAUAUAUCUAUGAUUUCAUGGUUGUUAGUGAUGGCAGAUGAGGAGCAUGCAAGGUGUUUAAUGGAGCAGAUUAUUGCUAGUGGUAGUGGCUCCAACCUGCCCGUAACGUACACCGACGAAGAGGGCAGCCAGGCGGACAUGUUCCUCAACAUGUCCGGUGAUGGCAAUGAAGAGCCCGAGCAAAACCUUGCCGUGACGGAAGGUUCCAUCGAGGUAUAUAUCAUUUCCAUUAUUUUACCCCAUCUAUAAUUUCAUAUUCAUUAUUACUAUGUGCUAAUUAAUGAAUCUUGAACCGUUAGUCCUCUAGAUCAACGAACCGAAAUAAGCCCCGAGGUCUUACAAAGAUAAUGCAGGGAAGGCUUCACAUCAUGGAAGUCACAGAAGAGGGCACAUCGGUUGCUCCCGAACAUGUGGCAAGAAAGUACGUGAGUCAAACCGGGGCAAUCGUAAGGGACAACAUGCCCAUCAGCAUCAGGGAAUGAAAGAGCAAUAGAAAUGAUCUAUACGCACCCCCGGAUACACAAAAGGAUAUGUUGUGGGCAAAUAUCAAGAAACACUUCACAUUUCCCAAAGGAUAUGUUGAAAAAUAUGUGAAAGCGUGGAUGUUGAAGAAGAUGGCCACCCAAUUCCAGACAUUCAAGAAGAUGUUGGAUGCCAACUUCAUCAAGAAGGGUCGAACUCCGGGUUUCAAUGAGUGGCCAAAGUUAAGGGACCACUGGGAGUCGUUUGUCGAAUACAAGACGAGCGAAGGUGGUGCGAGUAAGGUUCACAUCAAUGUUGCCAAUGCUAGCAAGGAGUACCAUCAUCAUCUAGGGCGACGUGGUUACAGCUCUGCAAUUCCCAGAUGGCGCAAGAUGGAACAAGACCUGAUCGAUCGGGGUAUCGUACCAGCAACUCUUGACUGGAUCGAUUGAAAAAUUGGUAUUAUGCUCAUGAAGGCAAUCUGAGCCAAGAGGAUCCGACAUUGGUCUUCAAUAAAACAAUACGUCAGAAGGUCGGAAGGCUUAUUAGGAACAUUGAAGAUGCUAAAGCUGGGAGGUUCAAGGUGGAUAGAGAGAAUGAUGAACUCACAUUGGCCCUCGGGACUGUCAUCUCUAGCACUUCCAGCUCCAGGACUAUCGUCACCACCGGGACCGUCGCUUCCUGCUCGAUCACAGUCUCCAUCUCCAGCACAUCCUGGUGGUGCGAGCGACGACGACAACAACACCCCUCCCUGCCCACCAUUGCCGGGACUAAGACCCGCAUUGAGUAAGGAACCUGCAACACCACUGAAGAAGUCGCGACCACCACCUUCAAGGCAAGUCAGCAAAAGAAGAAAGCAGAGAAGCCUAAACCCACUGAGAAGCCAGCGACUGAUAUGACCGAUGCGGAAAGAUGGAAGGCACUCAAAGAAGAAUGCAGGGAGUGGUUCAGCGAAGGCGAAGGUGAGAAAGUCGUAUGAAUCGAAUUCAAGGAUAUAUAUGAAGUGAACCAUCAGGAUGCCCUUGAUGUCUCUCUCAUCAGCGCCUAGGUUCUGUAAGUGUAUGUUUAUCUAUAAGUAAAUUUUGGCUCAUAUCAUUAUUUUUUUUGCGUGCGUCACCCUACUAACUUCGUCUUCCAUUUUAUGUAGGAUGCUAAUUCAGACGUGCCGCAUAGAAGCGUACUUCCAUGUUGGAUUCAUGGAUCCAUCCCUAGUUAACCAAAAGCCGAUACGGAAGUAGCUAGAGAAAACGUUGGAGGUGGUGUACAACCUCCUGGACAAACUAAACUACAGAAUAGGGGCAAUAUGUGAGGGUCUUGUAGGAUUCCUAGUGGACGAGGUGAUAAAUCCAUAAGGAGAAUAUCAUUCCAACGGACGAGCAUUAGACACACUGAGCAACACCUAGAUGGGAGGAUCCUAGGAAUGACCUCGACAGAUUUUGGUAUAAAUAGUAAUUGUGUAAAUACUAGUUUGAUUUGUAUAGGAAUAUACUAAGAAUUGUAUAUAUAGUAAUUGUACAAAUACUAGUUUGAUUUGUAUGAAUACUAGAUUGAUUUUAUUAUAAAAAAGUUUUAAGUCGUACGUGCAUGCGCCUACAAAGGCGCGGAUGCCUUUUAAUCCCAGUCGGAAAAACAAACUGGUACUAAAGGGGCUCGUGCCGCACCUGGCAUGACCACCCCUUUAGUCCCGGUUGAACGACCCAGGACUAAAGAUCUCCGCGUCUCAAAAAUUUUAUCUCGGAUGCUUUUUAGAGAGAUUUGAGGCCUAUCAACCAAGACUAAUAUCGAGUUUUCUACCAGUGAAACUAACUAACGUUCACAUGGUUUUGACAUUCACCUGCCAUUUGGUGUAGACAAGGGCACCCUAACAUAUGGUUAAUAUUAUUCUUGAAAGAAAAUCCUUUGAUUCAAAAUACUUCAAACCUAAUAAUACAAUACUUCUCACAUCUGAAAAAUAUGAGACGGCCCGACAGUAUUCUAAUCGACGCAAUAAUAUUUUGAGGGCAGCACUACUACAGCGACCCUCAUUCGUGCCGGUGCUGGGACUCCUAUCACGACCCUGAUACAAAUGAGGGUACAUUAUUGGUGCCAGUGCUAGAACAGCCACGAAUAACUUGCUAAACGUGCUGUUACACUCACUACAGGGACCAAGAAGGUAGAUAAAUUACACGACAUAGCCUUGGUUGCCGUGGAAGCGCCAAGAAGGGAGACAAAUUACAGGGACCACACCAUCAAGUAGAUAGUGACAAUAUGCAAAAGAAUACCCGCGCCUGUUAGCAUGUGAACUGACCACACCACGAAACGUGAUACACGGCAAGCGUACCAAGGCCUUGCUGUGCAGACUAUGCAUGGACAACACAUGGUACCUGACCGCUUUUGGCCUCAGACACAUCGAAAAACUGCAUCGUUCCACGUUGUACAUCCAUUGCUAGUUUAUCUAUAUUACAUAAUAUAUUAUUAGCUAUUUGAAUAGAAUGAACCAAUUAAAAAAUUGCGUUGUAUUUUUAGUACCGGCUGCAGGAUGGUGUUACCAACCAGUACUAAUUGGCCUGUAGGAGUGAUGGUUAUUAGACUUGGUACUGUUGUUAGCAUCAUUAACCUAAUUGUGCGCCGUAUGAAUUUGGGGAUGCAAAGCUAGCUCUCUAUGAAUGUGAGGGAUGGAAAGCUAGUUCUCUAGUAGUAAUUAUAUAUAUGACAGUCAAGAAAUCGAACACUAUGCUGCUACGAGUCACCAUCAUUUCCUUCAUUGACAAUCUGACAUAGGUGAAGCUGCUUCAAUAAUUUCCUUCGCGCAGUCGUGGAGCUUAUUGGAUUAUCACCAGGACGGGACACGGAAAUGGCCAGCAAUGAAGCUGAUUGCCGUCUGAGGAAGACUACAUACUUACCUAUGAAAUGAAGCGAUUGCAUAGACUAAUGAAGCAUUGCAUAUUUGCAUGUGAGUGUGGCAGAUAAUUCUGCAGGACAUGAUUGCAAUCCACGCACCAUCGAGAAGACUGGGGCGAUGGGGUUGCCUCAUCAAUAAUCACGUGGAUGCAUGCAUGCAUGUUCCCGCAACCGGACAAGGGUCUGAUAUAUGGCUAUAGUAUUACUGAGCCCACAUCAAUAAUUUCCACUGGUGUAUCGUGUGGGAAGAAUCAACAUACUACACCUCGAGUUCUUGGAACUAACUGACGUUCACAUGCAACCUCCACAAGGUGCUGUAUGCUUUUGACAUUCACCUGCCAGUUCGUGUAGAGAAGGACACCCUAACGUAUAGUUAAUAUUAUCCAUUUCAUGAGUAAAAUACUGUGAUUCAAAAAUACUUCAAAUCCCUUGAGACAAUACUUCUCACUUGACUAACCACUAACCAACCCCGAAACCCUAACUCAACUCCGAACCCUAACCCCUAACGGCAUAACCACUCCGUUUUGCCGGCGAGAUGGAGGAACUGGCUGGAAGGUAGAGAGGGCAGCGGUCCAGGGUUGAAAACGACGGGCGAGCGCAGUAACAUGUGGAGGAGGAAGUGCCACGUAUUCGUUCACCGCUAUUGGGCAGCGACACACGACACGCCCAAUAAGAUCUUCGCACGGUAGAAGGACGUCAUGUAUUCAAUAAUGUUAUUGGUCCCCCAUGUGCAGAAGGGCGCGCGCGUAUGGAAUAACAAGUAGGGACACUGCAACUAAUCUACUCUGCUCGUCCAGUCCCUAGCCUAUAAAUAGAUGCCAUGCUAGCUCUUGUUGUGCUCACAAUUAAUCCGAUUACACACGAGCUUCUCUCCCUGGCCAAGACACAACCAUAGUAUGAUGAAGAACAUGGCACUAGCCGGCAAUGGUAUGAAGAAGUUAAUCCUCGCUGUUCUCUUACUGUGUCUAGUUAUAGGGCAGAUACAAGUGGAAGCUAAGAGCUGCUGCCCAUCCACCACUGCAAGAAAUGUCUACAAUACCUGCCGUUUCACGGGUACAUCCCGUCCAACGUGUGCAAAACUGUCAGGCUGCAAAAUUAUCAGCGGGAACAAAUGCAAGCCCCCUAACGACCACCUCACCCUUGACCCGGACACUGGUAAAUAAUAAAUUUAUCUCACUUGAUUUCUUCGUGAUUUGAGUCGUUAAUGUAUUUUCCAUCUGAUGAAACGUAUUGGUUUUGCAUUGAAGAGGAAGUUAAUGUGCUUAACUUCUGCAAGUUGGGGUGUGCGUCGUCUGUGUGCAACAACAUCAACGCUGGUAAGCAACUUUUGCUCAGACAGAGAAAACAAUAAUCAUUAAUUAGCGGCAGCUAGAAUCCUAUAAUCUAAUAUAUAUAUAUAUAUAUAAUUUUAUCAGCUCUGGGAAAUGAAGAGGCGAACGAUGCCGUUGAGAGUUGCGACCAAGCCUGCUCUAGCUUCUGCAGCGUGCAUGUUGGCAGCGCCACCGUGGUUGCUUAAGCAAAUGCAUCCAACUAGAUCGUCCUUGUGCUGAAUAAUUGGAUAUCGUAUCCACUUAAAGCUGCCUUGUGUAGUACGUCUUUGUGUCUCUCUUUAUAUUCCAAUAAGGUCGGUGAUCUUGAUGCCACACACUCAGAUGUGUGUUCAUCUCCAGAUACUACUCCAUGCUACCUGCCCUUUGUGUUUUGUUCAAUAACUGGGUAUCAUAUCCCAGCCAGUAUGCCGUCUGUUUUGUGUUUGUUUCCUUCUAGUUCCAAAGGGGUCAUCAUGAUGUUACCUUCUUUCAAUAUGGUGCUUUGCAUGACUACUGUUGUAUGGUACCAUCUUGUGGCCAAUAAGUACAUCUUAUCCUAUGACCUUUGCUAUGACCCUUUGCAAAUAAGUAGAAGAUUGUUAUAAGCGUCAAUACUCCGUAUAAAUUGAUCGCUGCUGUGAGUUCCCUUUCAGCUUAUCGUAGGCAUACAUUAUUGCUAGCACGGUAAAGCCAACCAACACGAAUGAUGAAGUAAACGUAGCGGUACUUCUGUAUACCAACACCCUUACUUAAAUGUACCGGUGUCAUUCCCUACUGGCACAUAUAUUCUUAUAUGCUAGCCAGCUUGUAAAAUUAACCAAUUAAAAUAAUUAUUUCAAGAUAGAAAUAACUUAUCGGUUUCUGGAAGCAUGUGUAAUGUGAAUUCAAGGACUCGACGGAAGUUGAAUCACUUCAUCUAUAUUGCUUUCAGUAUUUUGGGUAACUAAAUUUAACAUUUGCACAUACAAAUGUUAAAGUACAAAUGUUAAAUCUAGUUACCCAAGCAGAAUAUGAAGAUAGUUUAUAGUAUAUAUAUACUAUAUAAAUCUAGUUAACAUUUAGUCUAAAUGUUAAAUCUAGUUACCUAAAAUCCUGAAAGCAAAAUGUAUAAAUAUAUAUCUUUUAAGGCAGUAUAAGCUUCGAUUCCUAUUGCUGCUCUGUUAAAUCUCAUCUUUCGUUGUGGCCCAACACUCUAGUAUGCAUGUUGCACCAAGCUUCUUUGAGCCGCUCUGCCCUCUGAUUUUGCUGCGUAGGGGAAUCUUUAUCAGGUUGGGCUACUUCCAGUUGUGCGAUGUAAAGAUUCGUAUUUUCUAGAAGGUAGACAAAAAACUCGCGUUCUCUUAAGGCAACAACCGGAAGAUUCUGCAGCGCACAGGGCAUACCAUUAUUGUAGAAACGACCUUUAGUACCGAUCUCCAACCCCCUUUAAAACUGGUUUUGCAACCGGUACCGUUAUGUCGGUCCUUUAGUACCAGAUCAAAUAAGUACCGGUUGGUAACCAGUAUCAACUUGUUUUGCGGCCAAAAAAAUAAAGAAAAAAACAGUCAGAAGGCUCGCACACACGCGCAUCACAUGAAAUAUGCGUGUGCGGGGUCCAUGGGAUUCGAACCCAUGAAAUCAAGCUGCACGCGACCCUUCGUUACCAUCUCACCUACAUAGCGCAUAUGCUUUCCUGAAGUAACCCGUGGAGGAGGCUUUAGUACCGGGUCAUAACACCACCCGGUACUAAAAAUGACUCUUCAGUACCGGGUCAUAACACCACCUGAUACUAGUAUCGGAUGGUGUAAUGACCCGAUACUAAAAGGCCUCUAGGGACCCUCAAAUUUGAACCCGGUACUAAUGCUAAUAUUAGUAGCGGGUCAAAGUGCAGCCAGAACUAAAGCAUGGGAUGAAAGGUCAUAUUUCUAGUAGUGUAUAGUUGUUGUGAAGGACUGACUUGGCUGUCCUCUCUCUUCUCCAUCCCCUUGGUCUUACGCCGCCGCUCGCACGCGAGCCGGUGCCCAACCAGAGGAGUGAGAGCUAGGGGCAGGUUGGGAGGUGGGGAUAGUGACUGGUGGCCAGGGUGAUGGUUGAUCCUGGUGGGGUUAGGGUUUCAGGGUUUUCGAGCUUCCUAUGGUCGGCGAACCUAGAGGAGAAGCUCAACAUCAGCUGCAACCCGCGAUGGUGGUGGUUUGGCCGGCGCCCGAGGCGAGGCAGCGCGGGAGUGCUGCCGGUGGGUUGGUGUUGGCACUCAUUAUUGACAACUAUUUUGUUCAUAAAAUAACACUCAAACUUGCUGCUGCUGCUGCUGCCAUCGCCACCCUAGCCAUAAUAUAAAGGCAAAAUUUGCUAAAGGACAUGCAAAAUGAUGCUAGUUUGCUGGCGGGCAUCGUUGACCUUGUAAUAUGCUACAAGACACUCUAGUUGUGUAUCAAUUUGCUGAAAGACAUUGCUAUGACUAAAAUAAUGUUUCUGGACUGAGUUGGAGAGAGAGAUGGAGUGAAAUGUCUGUUUUGCCCAUGACCCCACUGGUCAGAUCCUUCUUCUUCCACCCUCCUUUGUUCUUUCUUCAACCAUUACCCAGCUCCAGCGUGUUGCAGAUCUACGAGGGUGGCGGCCUGGGGCGAGGGGCAUCGCUCGCCCUUGGAGGAGCGCUGCGAGCGACGGCGCGGGGGCGGCAACAGCGCGUCAGAACCUGACUGUUCGUUAGCUCCUCUCGCUGCUGGGGAAGAAGGAGGGGGAUGGGCCAUGGACGGGGUUCCCUUGAAAACCUCAGCGUCGAGCUCGGGCGGCUACGCGCAGGCAGCACUAGGCUGCUUCACGGGGAGGGGGCGCGGCCAAUCAUUGGCACCCCACUGGUCCAAUGCUGAUGAAGAUGGUGCCAGCGUCGUGUGAGGACAUCUCAUCUCCUCGAGUUCCAUGGCCAGCACAGGUGAGCUGCCGCUACCACAAAACAGAGGUUUCGUGAGAGUCAAAAAACCUUAUGAAAAUAGCUAAAACCAUCAUGAAAAUAAUCCGUGACAUGACACUCUCACGAAAAUCCUCUCACAAAUAUGGUGCCAUGAAAAUACCAUUUUCAUGAGAGUGAACUGUCAUGAUUUUAUAAGCGUCAAUACUCGGUAUAAAUUGACUACUGCUGUGAGUUCCCUUUCAGCUUAUCGUAGGCAUACAUUAUUGCUAGCACGGUAAAGAGAACCAACACGAAUGAUGAAGUAAACGUAGCGGAACUUUUGUAUACCAACACCCUUACGUACCGGUGUCAUUCCCCACUGCCACAUAUAUUCUUAUAUGCUAACCAGCUUUGAAAAUUAAGCGAUUAAAAUAAUUAUUUCAAGAUAGAAAUAACUUAUCGGCUUCUCGAAGCUUGUGUAAUGUGAAUUCAAGGACUCGAUGGAAGUUGAAUCGCUUCAUCUAGAUUGCUUUCAGGAUUUUGGGUAACUAAAUUUAACAUUUGCACACACAAAUGUUAAUGUACAAAUGUUAAAUCUAGUUACCCAAGCAGAAUAUGAAGAUACUCUAUAGUAUAUAUGUACUAUAUAAAUCUAGUAAACAUUUAGUCUAAAUGUUAAAUCUAGUUACCUAAAAUCCUAAAAGCAAAAUGUAUAAAUAUAUAUCUUUUAAGGCAGUAUAAGCUUCAAUUCUCUGUUAAAUCUCAUCUUUCGUUGUGGCCCAACACUCUAGUAUGCAUGUUGCACCAAGCUUCUUUGAGCCGCUCUGCCCUCUGAUUUUGCUGCGUAGGGGAAUCUUUAUCAGGUUGGGCUACUUCCAGUUGUGCGAUGUAAAGCUUCGUAUCUUUUAGAAGGUAGACAAAAUACCCGCGUUCUGGAAGAUUCUGCAACGUGCACGUUGGCGCUGCCACCGUGGUUGCUUAAGCAAAUGCAUCCAACUGAAUCGUCCUUAAGCUGAAUAAUUGGAUAUGGUAUCCACUGCUUAAAGCUGCCAUGUUUAGUACGUCUUUGUUUUUCUCUCUUUAUAUUCCAAUAAGGUCGGUGAUCUUGAUGCCACACACUCAGAUGUGUGUUUAUCUCCAGAUACUACUCCAUGCUACCUACCCUUUGUGUUUUGUUCAAUAACUGGGUAUCAUAUCCUAGCCAGUGUGCCAUCUGUUUUGUGUUUGUUUCCUUCUAGUUCCAAAGGGGUCAUCAUGAUGUUACCUUCUUUUGAGGUGUCUAUGAUGACUUCGUUAAUAUCAAUAUUAACCAAUUCAAUCUGUCUUAACUAUUUGUAAGGGGUAUGAUGUAUGCAUGAUUAUAACAAUGAUUGCGCAUACAAUCGCCGCCAAAGAAACGGUCAAUACCAUUAAGACAUAUUACAGACAAUUCUCAUAAUCUAUAAUGAAUAUACAUAUUCACUACUGCAGAAGACUGUCAUUUGUAUCGGCUCAUACGUGCCAGGGCAAAGGUCACCCUUGCAUUAAGUACAUUUGCACGGUAAAGACAACCAACACGAAUAAUGAAGUAAACAUGCCGGUGCUUUUGUACACCAACACGCUUACUUAAAUGUACUGGUGUCAUUCCUCACCGGUAGCCGGCUUGAAAAUUAACCAAUUAGAACAAUUAUUUAUUGUAUCGGUGUGAUUUUUGACCUAUUGGAAUAUGAAUUUGACCGUUACUGCAUUCGUCAAGACUCAAGAGAGAAAUAACUGAUCGGCUUCUUAGAGCGUGUGCAAUGUGAAAUCAAGGACUGGAUGGAAGUUGAAGCGCUAGCACUAGUAGAGAAACGACUUUCCAUCCACCCCCUUUUGUCCCGGUUUAAAGUUGGCUCGGGAUAAAAGGUUCACCAACCGGGACUAAAACUCAGUCACUGGUGGGAGGCUCACCAACCGGAACCUUUUAUCCCGGUUGCAAAGGCUAAUGGGAAAAAAAGACUCUGAGAGGCCUUUUAUCCCGGUUUGAAACACCAACCGGGAUAAAAGACCCCCCUUUUAUCCCGGUUGGUAACACCAACCGAGAUAAAAGGGUCAAGAGCCUUUUAUCCCGGUUGGAAACACCAACCGGGAUAAAAGACCCCCUUUUAUCCCGGUUGGUGUUUCAAACCGGGAUAAAAGGGCCCCCACGAGGUGACUGGAAGGUGACUGGAAGGGGAUUAAAUCGUGGGGGACCCUUUUAUCCCGGUUGGAAACACCAACCGGGAUAAAAGGGGGUCUUUUAUCCCGGUUGGUGUUUCCAACCGGGAUAAAAGGGUCCCCCACGAGUUAAUACAAAAGGAUAGUAUCCCCUACAUAGUCAGAUGUGGUGUGUAGGUGGGAUGGUAAGGAAGCUACGCGCGAGCUCCGGAAUUUUUUUUUUUUUUUUUUGCAGCGUCGGCGCUCUCUACCCUUUUAUCCCGGUUGGUAUUACCAACCGGGAUAAAAGGGGGUCUUUUGUCCCGGUUGAGUGACCCGGGAUAAAAGACCCCCCCUUUUUUCCCCGGUUAGUUUAUCCCGGAUGCAUUUUCGGGAUAAAAGCACCCUACCAACCGGGAUUAAAGCUCACUUCUCUACCAGUGUAGCUUCAUCUUCCGCUGCAAGUUAAUUGCUUGGAUAAGAAGUUGUAGCCGCUGCAAGUUAUAAAUAGUCCCGCUGAUGCUGUGCUCCGAAGUCUAUACUAUAUAUGCGGAAACUAGAUUGCUUUCAGGAUUUUGGGUAACUAAAUUUAACAUUUGUACAUAAAAAUGUUAGUUUACGAAUGUUAAAUCUAGUUACCCAAGCAGAACAAGAAGAUAGUAUAUAGUAUAUACUAUAUAAAUCAAGUUAACAAUUAGUCUAAAUGUUAUAUCUACUUACCCAAAAUAUUGAAAGCAAAGAAAGAAUAAGUAUAUAUCUUUUGUUGGAAAAUUGGUCCACGGAGAGGCCCAUUUAGGCCUCGUUCGUUUCACCGGGAUGGGAUUCCAGUCAGGAUUACUUCCAAGUUCGGUUUGAGUGAUUCCACCCGUGUCACUCAAUCCGGCUAGGAUUCAUUCUAUGGGUGAGGAGGUAUGGUUUCAAUCCAGGCCAUCUAAUGUAGAAGGAUUCCAAUCCAGGCCGGUUUUCGUUCCAGGCCAGACUAAAACGAACAACACUUUCAAUGCAAGUCUGGUUUCAAACCGGGCCAUUUCAAACCACCCGGAAUGGACCUCGUUCCAGGCCAAUCCGGUGAAAACAAAUGAGGCCUUAAUGGAAUCCCAAAGCAAGAGUUCAGUGGCAUUCUAUAGUCCCAUGCUGCUAGUUUGAGUUGGUCGAAGCCAACUUAAAUAGGAGAGCUCUCUCACUUCUCUAAAUACGUAACUGAAGGAGAGAAGGGGGCUUGGGUUACACAACGCACGCACGCACGCAUAUUUGCGUUCUUUUCGCGUAACCAACCGCGUGACUUGAAACUUGCGACGUAGCGUGCUGCUAAGUCAAGUUGAUAUAACCUUUUUGCCGUUUGCAUGUAAUCUUUUGACAACGGUCAUUGGAGGUGAUAAGCACGCAGUCAAUACCUUAAUCUUGAGUUAAUAGGGUGGUUACUACUGCCAAUUAGUGGGGCAAUUUUGUAGGGGAAACGGUUAGCAGAGGGCUACCGUCUUCUCUAUAAGAAGUUCUGGAGACGUCCAGGAACACACAUGUACAUGUGAGAGACCCACAAAUUCCUUCCCUUCUCCCUUUUCCAUGUGGUGAAGUGUGCUGUGGUACUGAGCUGCUUGAUCUCGCCGCUCUUCUCCUUGGCAUGCACCGAGGAGGAGGGUGAGCGGUAUCUCCGAGCUAUUGCCGUCAGGAAGCCUGCACGAGGGACAACAAAAAGUUUUUGGGUAGCGCAACUGCCAGCACAACUCUCCCUCCGCCUCUUCUUCACGGUUGAUGGCCACCACAAGCAUAAACCUCGCCUUCGCAUCCACGCAAAAGGGUCGCUGGGGUGCCUUCUUGCAUCGCUUCUCAGCCUCCUUGACUUGCGGCCAGCCAAGAACUGCGCCACCACCUCGGGUGCACGCCACCACUCCAGGGCUGCUACCCCAUGCCUGCGGCCGCCGCCGGCCACCACGCGUGUGCAACCGCGUCGCACCGCUUCCUUGCUUUGUGCCACCACUGCUGCUGUACCACCAGCUCCACCACCUUGGGCUGGUCGCCAGAGUGACUGAUAACUUAUUAUCUGUAACUACUAUUAACUCAGGGAUACAUGCGUCUUUUGCUUCUCCUACUAAUAUGUCCUAAAAUAUCUAGGAUGCCUUAUAUUUCUGGACAGAGGAAGUAUUUGAAUAAAAUGAACCAAUUUAAAAAAAUGUGUUGUACACUACUACAGAAAGACCUAUCAGUGUCAAACCCAAAAAUGUUGUCACCGCCAGUUUUGGGCAUCAUUGGUGAAAGGUUGGCGGUGAUGGGCUUUCCCUUCAACAACGGCACUGGAGCCGACGGUGAUUGACAUUAGAAAACAAAAAAGGGGACCCUACCUAGCCACCCCUGCAACCCGGCCGGCCGUGCCUCCCCUCAUCCCCACCACCUCGCCUCCCCAUGACCCCCCGCCGGCGCCCUUGCGCCUAGCCCCCUCAACUGCCCAGCCGGCCACCCUCAUCACGAGAGAGAGGUGCAUGUUGUAUAAUUGCGUGAAUUUUUUAAUGUUUAAUUUCAUGUAAGUUCCGUGUAAUAAAUUGUACAAGUUUUAUUGUAUAUAUGAAUUCCAUAUAUAUAUAUAUAUAUUUAUAAUUUAAUGUAUGGUUUCAUGUGUAUAUUUCAAUCAUGUGUAUAUUUAGUAGAUUGCCGAUUUUCUUUUUCUACUAGACAAGGGUUGAUGUAUAAUUACGUGUAUAUGUUUAUUGUACGGGCAAUUAGGACAAGUUUUGUAUAAAUUUCUUUUAUUUGAUGGUUGUUGUAUGGUUUCAUGUAUAUACAUUUAUUGUACUACUUUAGACAAUUUUUAAUUUAAUGUUUCUAUGAUUAGAUGUGUGUAUAACUAAUUGUAUUAUUAGUUAAGAUGGGAGCUAAAGAGGAUGAAAGGUAUAUAAUGGAGCAGAUUAUUGCUAGCUCAAACGUUGCAAGAACCUACACCGAGGGUGAGGGUAGCUAGGUGGACAUGUACCUCAACAUGUCCAGUGAUGGCAAUGACGAUGAGGAGCACGAGCAUGACAUCUAUGAUAAUGCGGAACAAGACAUUGCAGAAUUGGAAGGUUCUAAUGAGGUGUGCUUCAUGUUGACAAUCUAGUUGGCUUUUUUUCGUUGGUCACACCUUAGUUACCAUAGAACUUCGUCUCGGGAGAAGAUUGGUGGUGGUAUGGUGAUUGGAAUUUUAUUUCCACGAAAUCUGAUUUCCAUCGAAUCAUAUCCCUUGUAUUUAUCUUCUUUUUAUUUGUGAGAGCAUCUUCUUUAUGCUUGCAAAACAAUUCAAGUGCACAUACUACCCCUAGGGUGACGAUUGGGAGUAGAAAUAAUUGCCAACAAAACAACACCACAUCCUAAGAUUCUUAACUUGUGGCAUAAUUAGUCUAGUAAAAAGAAAGAUAAAAACCUAAUGGGUGUAUGUGAGUGCAAUGUGUAUAUGCAUAUGAGUGGAAGGCAUAUAAGCAAAGACAAUAUUUACACAUAGUUCUAAACACCAUGUUUACAGCUAGGUUGCUGAAUUUCUCCAUAGCCAUAGAGAUUAAUUAACCAAGGUCAAAACACGAUGUCUAUCCCAAGAUCAGUAAUUAUUUAUAGCACAAGAAAAAGAAAGCGCAUUGCAAAGUUUAUAAACCAACCAAUACAGCAUGAAAACAAGAUGAAUAGCUAGCAAGGUUUAUUAAACUGAAUGAUGACGGUCUGUAAGCAAGUUUAAACACCAUCUUUACACAAGAUUGCAAAUGGAAAAUGCCCAUAUGAAGCACUAACAUGGAUAUGAAAUCAUUCAUCAUAAAGCGUAAAGAACAACCAAGCCAACCAUAUGCAAAGCAUGAAUGGAAUGCAAUGAAGGUGCAAGAGAACAUUUUUGGAUGAACACAUUAUGAUGAUGGCAAAAUGCAAUGCAUGCAGAAAAAAUAAAUAUGAACAUGAAUAUGAUGAUCAGGGGCGGACCCACUAUUGUGGCCUGGGUAUUCCUCGGCAUACCCAAUAUUUUUGGGAAAAUGUUUAGUAGUUUUUAAUGGCAUAUACAUGUAUAAUAUAGUUUAGGUGUUAAAAUUGAUAUUCACAGCUAUUUUGGGCUCCAAUUCGCGUCCAAACCAACCUGGCCCACAGACCGCACCCGGCCGCCCGGCCCAUCGGCCCAUCUUGUCACUGAUCCUCCCACCACCACACUCAGCCCGUCAGUUAGUCAGGUCCCGAGCUCCUGCCUGACCUAGUCCGCUACCACCGCCAGGCGCCAGGCACAGCUGUACACGCCGCCCCCGUCCACCCACGUCCGCCGCACGGCCGCGUCGCGCCCCCCCCCGGCGCCCGCUGCUGCCAGAACCCAUUAGGCCUCCACCGGCAAGUCCACCCACAGUCCCGCGCGACGCGGCAGCCUCUUGGCUCUCGGCGCUCGCGGCGCGCCAAUGCCUGCGCAGCCCCAGCAGGCGACUGCCCCCCCCCCCCCCGCAUCGGGCCUCGGCCCCUCCCCAGCUCCCCCUCCCCCCUCCACCAGGACUGCCUGCUGGCCCCCACCGCGAGGUAAUCGAAAUGGACUGCUCAAUCUCUCAAUCUGUUGACAUGAUGCACACGGUUGCAAAAAUAGAUGUGUCAAAAUAGAUGUAUUGCCAAUUGCUAUAGAUGCAUAUGGUUGACAUGAAGAAGUCAAAAAUGACAUUUGGUUCCUUGUAGGCAGUCAAAAAUGAAGAAGUCAAACAAUAUUGAUCUGAAAUCAAUGCGGGAAAGGGCUACGAAGACACACGGGUAGAUUCCCUUGUGAACUUUUUAUGUCGUUCGUCUAAAUAUAUUUUUGCAAUGGGCAUACCCUACUCUGAAAUCCUGGGUCCGCCACUGAUGAUGAUGGUCUAAACAUAAAACAAGCCUAGAUUAAUUAGCUACAACUGAAAUUAAGCAAAGGUUAAUGUCAUUGACCCUAGCUCUAUCCUAGCUUUUACUAAAGUCCCGGCACAUAUAGUGGUUGGGCCCACUCUCUCUACUUCCCUCUCUGCUGCAUGCACACACACGAGCAACUGGAGGCCCAACAAAGCCCAGAAGGGUUCGGCCGAACCCGUCCGAUCCAGUCUGAGCGCCGCUCCCUCCCAGCCUUCGCGCAGAUGCUCCUCCAACGUUCCUUGACCCCUCCCUCAGUGUCCCAUUGGGUUUAACAUUGUAGGAGAGGAGUCCCUUUUUUAAAAUCUCAACCACCUCCUCUCCUCAUUCACUCCACUCUCAUCUCCAUCAAACUCACCAAGAUCCACAUCGGAAAUACCUGCUUACCACCAUGGCUGGCAAAGCCCUCGUCCCUUUCACCAACUUGGGCUUGACCAUUGAUCUCGAUGGGAAAAUCACUCCAGCAAAUGUCAUUGUCCCUGUCGGCGAUCUGGCGAUGGAGGAGGUCCAGGCACUAGAGGUCGAGCCCCUAGCCAUCAUACCGCCCAAGGGGUAAAGCAGGAGCAUGACAGGCGCUGCUAGGGGUUCAGCCGAACUCCCAGUUCAGCCAAACGAGGACGGCGUCGCCUCGGCCUCCCGCUCGACUGCAUGCUUCCCCUUGCCAAGGAGGACUCCAGAACAGCGGGCGCGUGCGUCAAGUCCCUACAAAAGGCUGAAAUACAAUGAAUAUCCAGGGUCACCCUUGAAGAUGGGUGAACGCUACGCCGGGUCCUUGUUUGACUAGUACGGCGAUGCAUUCUGCCACCGCUAUGUCGUUGUCGAGAUUAGCGGAUCAAGACUUAGACUAGUAAAUUUCUUUUAUGCGCGUAAGGCUUCAGAUGGUGGCGUGGGAGACAUGGGUUUUAUACUAGUUCGGGCAAUGGAAUACCCUACGUCCAGUGUCUGGAGCUGCUUGUGUUGCCCACGCGGGGUUCUGUAGUAGGGGUUACAGGUGUGCGAGAGAGGGAGCUAAUCCCAGGUCUCUUAGGCGUGUUCCGGUCCUCUAGAUGGGAGAAGUGUGUUCUGUUUGCUUGGGAGUAUCGGUUGUGUCUGAGUUGUCUCCGGAGCCUCCUCCCGUCUCAGGUCCCCGAUUCUCCUUUCAUAGCACAAGGAGACCAUCGGGGUUACAGACGAGACCGAGCGUGGGGAGGAGUAAAGAGAUAAACAUAGCUAGGUAAAAAUACAACAAGAAAGGGGGGAACCAAGUUUCUAGGUCACCGGCGUCCUCGCCGGCCUUCGACUUCCGCCGGCGCAUUUGUCGGAGGAGGGUGGCCGCCAUCGCGUUCUGUCGAUGGCUUCCUCGGUGACUGUAGCCACCGGGCGUGAUGAUGGCAUUUCGUCGUGACCCUUUGUCUGUUGGGGGAGGCGGCGGAUCCUGCCAUUCUGCUGACGGCUCGCGGAGUGCGAACGUCGCAUCCCUGCCGCUGGGCACGCGGGGCGCGAGAACGUGCGAGGCUUCCCCCUACCCCAGGCGGCGCAGGCCAUGAGUGCCCUGUGGCAAAUCGGAGGAGGCCGCAGCUACUGUAGCUUGUACUGUGCAGCCACGUAUGGGUACUUGUGGCAGGUUGCGUGGUGGAUGCGGAUAUCCUUCUCCCUGACAGAUCUGCGGCGCAUUUAUGGCGAGAUCGACAUGGGGACCCACAAGACCCGCGCCCAAGGCGGAUACUUGUCUGGAGGGCCCGGGUUAGCCUGACCCCCUACGCUUGGGGUCGGGCGAGGCGGAGACUUGCGGCGGGGCGUCGGACGCUCCCGACACUAGACCUGCGGUCGCGCAAGGCGGAGCUUGGUCUUCCGGGGGUCGGGGGUGCCGGACCCCAGGAUGCGGGGUCGGGCGAGGUGGAGCGUAAUUCUUGCCUCCCAUGUUGGGCCGAUGGCAGUCUUUGUUACCUCUAGUGGGCUUGGGCCUUUAUGUUUUGUUGUUUCCAUGGGCUUCGAGAGGUCGUUAAUAUUUCCCCCCAACAGUAGCCCCCGAGCCUGUGGUGGAGUGGGGGCGCUCCUCCGGAGGCUACUAUCAUCGCCCCUAGGGAAUCCUCGCAGUUGAUCCGGGAUAGGAGGUGUUGUUUGCACGGCUUGACCGAGGGGGUCGAUUAGGCGACGCAUCCUGUGAGCGACUCGGUGCGGGAGGGUUUCUUGUUGUUCCCUUCUGUCUGAGAGCCUUAAGUCGAGACCACCUGCGUGGCCUUUGGUUGCAAGGCCAGCCCCCGAGCCCCCGCACGUUGCAGGGGACCGGUCGGAGGCUAGGUCGACUUUUGUUCAUUACCCUCAAGCGUCUGUUCGCUAGGACGGAGGGGGCGAGCCGUGCCAUGCUAUCCUCAUCGGACGAACCAUGGUGCUCAUUGAGUUACUAACGGGUUGAUUCGAGUGGGAUCCCGGUCCCCGUUCGGGGGGGGUCCGGCUUGGGCCAAGCUGGUGGCGUACCCCAGGCUCCGGUCGGCCAGUUCAUAUAGUUCCUGAGUCCGUUCGGUCGGACCGGGGGCUCAUUGCCUUUCUUCGGGGAAAAACCAUGAACUUUGAUGCCGGUCCAGACUCGAAUGUGAGAUUGAGACGCCCGGGGCUGUCGCGUGCCCGGGUGAUGGCCGCUAGCGGACCCGUCUCCUCUCACCCCUCACUCGGGGGUAUCCUGAGGCGGCUGUCGAACCCGUGGCGGGCCAGCCUUCGAACCUCUGGAUCGUAAUGGGCCGUAGGGGCGUUUUCAGCCCCGUAUCCCUUUUUACCUUUUGGUGGGCCUUGGGCCGAAUCAUGGAGGAGGUCGGGCCUUGGGCCGGAUGCGGAGGAUGUCGUGCCUUGGGCCGGAUGUGGGGGACGUCGUGCGUGUCUUCCGGGAGACGAAGUGGUGGAGGGUGCCAACCCGCGAAUCGAGGGAGGAGGGGAUGUUUCUACUGCAGGUCAUGCGCACGGUUUCCGAAAAGGCAGCGGGCGUGACGGGACGUACCUCGCGCCGCAUUUAUUGCGAUGGGGGCGUCUGUUCUGCUUCCCUCGUGCCUUCCCUAUAAAACGAGGACUUCGCCUCGCCGGUUCCGCCCGCCAUCUACCUUCAAGCCUUUUCGCCUCCUCGCGCGCCCUUAGCUUUCCUGUGCCCGCUUCGUCUUCCUCCGCCCAGUGCCGCGCCCUUUCUCCCCAUCCGCCGUCGAGUUCUUCUCCCUCCGGCGAUGGGAUCCUGGGCGCGUUCCCACUUCGGCCCCUCACGCGCCGAAGGCCUAGUGAGGAAAGGCCUCCUUUGCGAGAGGACGGAGACGGAUGAGUGGGGGUUCCCUGAGAUGGAAGAGGUGCCGACUCCGCCCACCGGCUACGUCGUUUCCUUUGCCCACUUCCACGAGAGGGGGUUUGCGACUCCGCCGAGCCUCUUCUUCCGCGGGCUUUUGUAUUACUACGGGCUUGAGCUGCAGCACCUCAACCCCAACGGGAUUCAGCACGUCGCGGCGUUCGUUGCGGUGUGCGAGGGGUUCCUGGGCAUUGAGCCCAACUUCUCGCUGUGGAAGUACUUCUUCACGGUCAGCCUAUACCAGAAGGCCGAGAAGAGGGGAAGCCAGCAGCGGUCGACCCCGGUGCCGAUAGGGUGCGUCGGAAUCCACCUCUGCCAUACUCGCGCCAAGGAGUAUAUCGCGAUGAAGACCGCGGCAUCCCACAAGGGGUGGCACCAGCAAUGGUUCUACGUGAAGAACUACUCCAACCCCCCCUGCCGGAGUUCACCGGCCGCAUUAUUGAAGCGGCGCCGGAGGUGUGGGUGUACGGCCCGGUGGAGAAGGAGAAGAAGCGGAUCACCGGCCUGCUGCAGGCCAUCGAGCACCUGAAGGAGAGGGGACUGACCGGAGCCGGAGUCAUCGGGGCGUACCACGCCCGGCGGGUGGCGCCGCUGAUGCUCCGGGUCCGCUCGCUCGCCGACAUGACCCCCGGUGCUCUCACCGAUGGCACUGUCCUCGCGACGGGUGCUCUCGCUGCCUCCGAGAUCCGGCAGCGGAUCCGGGAGGCGCUGGAGGACAAGGACGCCGAUUACCCGGUGCCCGGCCACCCUCCGAUGCGCCCGGACGAGAAUUUCAUUGAUCUGGUAAGGAUUUUGCGCGCCAGUUUCCCUCUCUUGCGUUUCUUGGUAUGCCGUUCUGACGCGAGGCCCUCUGUGUUUGCAGGGUAGCAUGACCCGGGUCGUCGACUUGCGUCCGCCAGUGUCGGAGGACGCCGAGUGGCGGUAGCAGAACCGUCUCCUUGCCGAGAAGCAAAAGUGACGCAAGGACAAGAGACAGCGAAGAAGAAGAAGAGGGCCGCCAAGGAGUUCCAGCGGCGGCGGUGGGGAUAGGUCGUGUCGGAUGACGAUGACGAUGAGAAGGAGGAGGAGGAUGACGAGGAGGAGGAGGAGUUUAUCCUGUCCCCCCGGUCAGGGGCGCUUGUUAUCCGGGAGCCGCGCUCCCAAGCGGCCAUGGGGGACAAGGCGGGCGAGCUGCCUGCCCGGACCCGAUCCUGCGAAGCUUUGGGGGCGCGCCCCAGGGGUCGGCGCAGAGCGCCCCCCGGGGGUCGACGGAGCCGACCCCCAUCCCUACACCUGCAGCCCAGGAGCAGAGGAGCAGCGACAAGCGGCCGUUGCCAGAUGCCCCGGGGUCGGCGUCCAGCUCAGAGGCGAAGCGCGCGCGCCGCCCUUGCGCUGGGGGAACGUGAGUUGAAUUUCCUUGCGAAUCUCGUUCCUUUCCAUGCAUUGUGUUUGUUUCCGCUGAUGCUGUUUGUUGUCUCACAGCACCGCCCCUCAAGGCCUUGUCCCGCCGUUGGCGCCAAAGAAGGCGUUGCGGUGUUGUCGCCUCUGCGGGGCGGACCGCGGCUCCGCCGGCGGCGAGUGGCGGGGUCACUGGUGAGACCGCGGGUCCUACCGCGGAGGUGGCCCCUGCGGCGGCAACCGGUGGAGUGGUGCCACCGCCGGGCAUGGGACAGGGUCUGGACCCCGCUCCGUCCUCCGCCUCUUCGGCCGACCCCGCGGUGCAGAGUAUCGCUCCUGGGGGCCCUCAGGCCGGGGAGGUGAUUGACCUCGACGCCGACGAGGUGGAGGAGACGGCGGCGGUGGAGACGGGGGCGGUUGCCCCAGCGGCCAUGACGGGGACGACGACGGCGACGGGGGAAGGAGAGUCUACCCCCGCGGCCACGGCGGGGACAGUGGCGACAGAGGAGGCGGGGACGCCCGCCCCGGCGGCUGCGACGGAGGAGGCGGCGGUGACGGAGACGGGGGCUUCCGCCCGGGAAGCCACAGCCGAGGUGGCAGCGGCGACGGAGGUGAAAGUGCCUGUUCUGGAGGCCACGGUGGGGGUGGGGACGCCUGCCUCGUGGCCACGACGGAGGGCGAGGCGGCCCCAGGGACACUUGCUCCGGCACCCGCGUUGGAGGCGGUGGCGCCGACGGGUUGGCCCGUGGCGGCCUCGACGGGGGCGGGGGUGCGUGCGCCGGGACCGUCGGUGAGGCCGGCGACUUCCGGGAUGGUGGUGCCCGUCUUGACGGCGGCGGCGGCGCGGUCGGCCCCCGCCCUUGCCUCUACCACUCCCAUUCCCAAGGCGUGGAGCGGAUCCGUCCUGCGUUGGUCGUCUCGUGACGACCCGCAGAGGCCCCUCUUCACGUUGGAUGAUGCCACAGAAUGGGGCAAGUGGCAGGCGCUGCAGGGCGGACUCGCUAACGUCCGCGCCGCUCUAUCUUCGGCGUUGGGGGAGCUGGACGGCGUCAUCUUCCCCGGUGGCCGGGUAUGGUGCUUUCUCCGUUGGUUAUUUUCUUCCCGUUACUUCGUCCCUGAUGGCACAUUGUUCUGCAGGCCCUCCAAGAAUGUAGCCGGGGAAAAUCUGAUUUCCUUUGGCUCGAGCAGGGGCUCUGGGAGCGCUUCAACUUGGAGUUGCAGCGGACCGGGGAGCUGACCAUGCAAGUCGCCACCGUCUAGCAUGUCAUCGACGAUCUGCGAAGGCACGAGCAGGCGGCACAGGAGGACGCGCGGCGGGCGGAGGCCAAGUUCCAGGUCGUUGCCGAAAGGGCUCGCUGCGACCGCGAGGAGUUCCAGGCCGUUGCCGAAAAGGCCCGCCACGACGCUGAGGAGCUCGCACGGCUGAAGGUGCAGCAUGAAGCUCUUCAGAAGAGCGGCAGAGGGCCUGGCAGGACCGGGACGCCGAGAAGGUCCGGAAGGAGGAGGCUGAGAAGGUGGCGGCCAACCUUGGGGCUGAGGUCAGCCAGCUCCAAGUGCAAGCGCGAGAGCUUCAGGCCUCCGUGGCCCAGGGGCUCGACCAGGAGCGCCAGCUGAAGGCCUAAUCCGAGGGUAUGACUCUGUUUAUUUCUUUGUCUUUGUGAUGUUGCGGUGAUAUUUUAUUUGGCGGGUUCUUCUGGAUGAUCCUUGCAGAUGAGCUCAACUGGCUGAGGGAGGUGCUUGACGCGGAGCGCGCUGAGCACGGCGACCUGCGGGACGCGGUCCGCGUCAUCUGUGACUUCCUUAGUGUGGUCCAGGGGGAGGGGACGAGCUCGCUGGCGGCUCGUGUCCUCGGGACGUACCGCCGGACCAGCGAGAUCGCCCUGGAAGCGCUUCGCACCGGCUUGAGGCAAGCCUUUGGGGUCUUCGGCUCCCACUAUUCCGGCAUCAACUUCGCCGGGAUGAGCGGGGGAUACGCCACCGGCUACUACGAGGCCGAGCUGGAUGAGAUCGACGUGUCGGUGCUCAGCCCGGCGGAGGCCUUGGUGAAGCUCCUCGAGGAUGAGGCCGUCCCGCCCGAAGAUCCCCGGACGAGUUAACUAUAUCGGGCUGGCGCCCCAGAUGUAAAUACGUUAGGGAAAGACUUGUUUUUUGUGAGGGCCGUAGAGGCCUUUUCUAUGAAUUGUCGUAAAAAAGUUUUUGAUUCCCUUUCUUGCUUUUUGGACUUGGAAAGUUUAGAGCACGUUGUCGGGCGUGUCAGUAAGCUUUGAUGAGCGAAGGCACCGUAGCCGCUGGGGCGUCGUUUUUUUUGCAGUCCGAUCAAUCUUGCCUGAACACCGUUCGUGCACUUUCUCCUUUUUAUGCCCAAAAGUUCAGAAAGAGGGUCGGCUCGGAAAGAGAAAGCGUUUUGAGAGGGUGUCAAGUGGCUUAGGUACUUGCGGCAGGUUGCGUGGUGGACGCGGAUAUCCUUCUCCCUGACAGAUCUGCGGCGCAUUUAUGGUGAGAUCAACAUGGGGACCCACAAGACCCGCGCCCAAGGCGGAUACUUGUCUGGAGGGCCCGGGUUAGCCCGACCCCCUACGCUUGGGGUCAGGCGAGGCGGAGACUUGCGGCGGGGGGUUGGACGCUCCUGACCCUAGACCUGCGGUCGGGCGAGGCGGAGCUUGGUCUUCCAGGGGUCGGGGGCGCCUUACCCCGGGAUGCGGGGUCGGGCGAGGCGGAGCGUAAUUCUUGCCUCCCAUGUUGGGCCGACGGCAAUCUUUGUUACCUUGGGUGGGCCUGGGCCUUUAUGUUUUGUUGUUUCCAUGGGCUUCGAGAGGUCGUUAAUAUUUCCCCCCAACACUAUGAGGAGGACUUGUGGGCAGAAAGUCAGCUACCACAAACUUGCCUCUGAAUAUUUGGAGUGCAAACAUUGGAUGGUGGUUGUGGAGAGCCCCAGCCAUACCUCGCACCCGUGGAGAGGUAAUUGUCGGAUUGCUUGGUUCGUCUCUAGAAUGCGACAAGGUCAGGCGCCACCUCUCACUGCUGCCAGUCAGAAGGCCGAGGGGCCAGUUUCAACAUAGUAAUGAGAAUCUCCGAAGGCCAAUAUGGUUAAGCAGCUAACCUCCAUGAUCAUAGACUUACGUUUAGAAAAUAGGAGGCUUAGCGAUGCGUUAACAGAGCAGAAGUUAGAAACAGAAGAACUUAAGGACGACUUCCGUGUCCUCCGCCUUGGUCUUUGUGCUAAGAUAAAGCGCUUGUACAAUGCCACGGGGAAUGACGGUCUCUACGAUGCAGCUCAAUAGACGUGCCCCUUGUAUCCUUUCCUUUAGGCACUUUAGAAUAUGUUUAUUUGUUUUCCUUCAUUUUAAUUUCCAAUAGAUUGUUAGCGCCUCCAAUUUAAUUUCAAUAAAGUGUAGACUCACCGGUCAUCCAACUUGAUGGAGUCCUUUUGUCACCUAGUUGUCUUUGGAAGAAGUAGCUGGGUACAAAAUAAGUGUGGGGGAGAGCCACAGACUCUCUAGAGCUGAAACAAUGCACAACACCCACAAAUAGAGAAAACCACGCUGCACCAGCACGUACGUGAAAGUGGAGCCAGAGCUGGACCCAUAGGGGUUUGGCCAACCCAAGGGGUGGCCCACUCGGGCCAUCUUCAUCCACCGCGUCGGUUUGUGUCUCUUUACCCCUGAUCUCCCUGAUUCAUGAGUUUGAAUGAAUUUUAAAUCUGAUCAACUAAUUCAAACUCAACUAAAAUGAAUCAACUGCUCCACCUGCUCUACAUGUUUUCUAUGGUUGGCUUGCAUAUGUUUUAUUUCAUGCUUAUCAUCUUGAUGCUUGUGAACAAAUAUCUUUAGGACAGCAUGCUCAUCUAAGUAGUUGAUGUGUAUGAUAUGGUUCGAUGAUAUGAUCUUCACUCUUAAUGCUUAAGUGCUUGGGAAAAUCUAUUUGAAAAUUUAAAAGCCUUUUUGAAAUCUCCUCUUUGAUGUGCCAAAGUCCUACCAAAGCCAUAUGAUAAGUUAUCUUGAAAAACCAUUUGCAUAUGUUGCUUGUCUUUGCAUUGAGCUUUGUCAAAUUGGUGUGACCCUUGUCACAAUUCUUUUCAUACUUUCAUGAUCAAGACUCAUGUGCACGCCAUAUACCCCUUGCUAUGCUUCUAUGAGAUGUUAGCAUUGUACCAUCCAUUCAUUCCACAAAAUAAAUGCUCCACCAUAUGUGUUGGUCUCCUUCUAAGAUUAUUGUUACAAAAGAGAUAUGGGCUAUCAAAAAAAAAUAUGAAUGUCCAAGAAAGUUGGACACAUGAAUGUCCAAUAAAAAGAAAAAGAAAGAUAGCCAUGUCCUCAGAAAUAUUUACAAAGGGAGAGAGAUCAUACAAAAAGGAGUUUCCAUUCCAUCCACCACAUCCAUACAUGUGCACAUCUUGAUCUGAUUGUAUGACUUAUUUUUCUCUUUGGAUCUGGUCUUUGACUUUGCAAUAUAUGUGAUGCAAGCAUGCCUUAUCCUUCAUAGCCUACCUUGAGCUCCACAUAUAGCCAUCAUUAGAAGUAGGAUGAAGAAAGGCAAGUCUAAUGCCUUGGUGAGGACAUAUACACAUUGAGUGAUCUGAGAGAAUCAAAUGAGGAGCUAAGCAAGGUUUUGUUUUGAAAACUAAUUGAAAAAUCCCAAGCUACUUGGCAUAAGGAGUUGAGGUGACUUGAUUCAAGACCAUUACAUUCCUCAACUACCCAAGAUGGCAUGAUAGACACUCCAAAGUUCACAAGUGCAGGUAUGGUUUGGAAUAUCUUUUAGGCUCGCUUCAUACCUUUGAAAGUUAUGUUUCACCUUAGUCCUUUCUCGUUCACUCAAGGAUAAGCAAAGGCUAAGUGUGGGGGUGUUGUUGAUGGCUCUUAAGUACAAAAUCUGCGCCAUCAACUCUUGCAUAAACACAUAAAAUAUGAGCAUCAACAAUAGUGGUAGGAGUUAUUACAAACGAAUUCCACAAGUCUUGGUGAAUAUUUGUAUGCAAGCCCAAUAGGAGAGAAAAGACACCUCAAAAGCAAGGAAACACACUCUCAACCAAUCAAGAGCAAGCACAUGGAACCAUGGGCCCACAACCAAAAGGAAAUCGACUACAUUCCAAACACCCUAUACCCACAUGAGAACCCAUAGGGCAGUGACCCAGAGCAAAGGUGAUGCCAGAGUGUAGAUGGUAGUUAGCAUGCCAAAUUUUGAACCGCAAGCGCUCGGAUUAGUUGUUUCUUUUCCCUUAGAGAUUCCCCCAAGGUUUAUCAAUCCAUGGAACAAGGGAUUUGCACGUUUCACUAAGCACUAAUCAAUGUAAUUGAAAGCUUUUCGAAUAAGAUAUGAUUAUGCUAACAAAGGAACUAAGCAAUCUAGAUUAAGAUGGAUAGAGAGUACAGGUUGUGAACAAGAUAGAUUAAACGCUUGUAGAUGCAAUCACCAUGCAUGAAUGAAUUAGAUCUAGGUGUUAUUGUGAGUGGUUGUGAACCAUGCCCAACACUUUCCCACCCGCAACAUUGUCACUACAUGUGGGUACUCAACUAUCGGAACAUAAGAACACAUCAAGAUGAUCAUUCUAGGUAAGCAAAUAAGCAACCCAAAGUAGCGCUGGCCAGCCUUUUCAUGAAAGAGCAUCAUCAAGAUAAGAUUGAUAACAAAAUAGAUCUCAACCAAAGGUUCAGCGAUUACAAAUCAAGAUCUUCGUAUAACCCCGAUGACAAAUAGAGGUAUUACCCCCAUGAUCUUACACAUGUUGAUGAAUUUUAGGGUAAAGGACACCCUGUAGAUCAACUGGACCAAAGAUGAUGAUGAACGGGGGCAGGGAAGGCCCAGGUUGAUCAGCCUGCGCACUUUUGAGCCGAUCAGCUCAGGGGGUUUCCUCCUCCCCUGGUGCUCCUCUUCGCGUGGCCUCCUCUGGAUCCAAUCUUCUCUUCAUUUCUCCUACUUGUGGCGGCAAUGGAUGGUGUUUGCAUGGUGAUUUCCUCUUCUCCCCAACUCUCCCUCCUUGAAGUCCAUGAGGGGGUAUUAAUAGUCUCCAAUAGGCGGCAGCUCUGGGUCAAUGUCAGUGAAAAAAUCCUAGAGAUCAUCGUACACUUCAUGCUGAGGAAACAAGAGGUUGACCGAGCCCUGGGAUAGACCAAGAGGAUCAUCCUAGAGGGUCCCAGGCUAAUCGGUCUAGGCCCUUCCUAGCCCUUCUAGUCCUCUCCUUCCUCGUGCUGGCUUUUCUCGAUGACCCUUGUCCAAAUAUCCAUGAAGCUCUAUAUACAUACCCCCUUGAUUAUGUUGUAUUUCCUGUCAAAAUACAAUGCUCCAAAAUACAACACAUAUGCAAUAAUAGGGUUAUUUCAGGUGCCAAUUGGUGGGUUAGUAUACGAAUAAGCAUGAAAAUACUGUUUAAAUGACACUAAAAGUGUGUCAAUAACGAGCACCAACAAUCCCCCCACGCUUAGAUCUUGCUCGUCCUCGAGCAAGUCUAGCGACUAAAAGAUCUUGAAUUAAACCUGAGCAAGCGAGUCAAGUACCUAGCCUUGAAACAAAAGAUUAGAGGAGCAGCAAAGAUAAUCAAAGUCUGGGUGUUCAAAGAUUUAUCUAAGCAAAGAUUCCCCUACAACUAUUAUUCAGAACCAAGUAACUUCAAAAAUCAACUACACUUAUUUUCUGGCUUUUUUCAGAGGGUUUUUCUUUCAUCAUAAAACAAUCUCCCUGCAACAAAAUUGAAAAAAGAAUUAUUUUCAAGGUGCUUACAUGUCGCUUAAAUGAAUGUUGGCUAUCCUACUUAUUUGCAAGCUCUCAUCUCUCAAAAUUCAUUCAAUUAUAUGGUGGAGUUUGGGUAAGGUUAGCUAGAAUCAACACGUAUAUUAUUGAAUUAAGAAAACCCUCUAACGGUGGCCUACCUUCCGAGCCAUUGAUCAUAAGAAUAUCCACAUAAUGUGAAGUUUUCAAGGAUGAGAAGAUAUAGAAUGGUGGACAUGUGCAAAGGCAAAGAAAUAUAGUGACUCUGAGGCACAAGCAAUGUCCUCGUCGUUGGAUUGCAUAUGGUUGUAAUGAAAAUAUGUUCCUUAAACAAGUCUAUCUUUUCUUUGCACCACUCUUGAUCUUCAUGACAGUAAAAACUCCUCCUUUAUUUCUUUCUCUCUUUUCCUAUUAUUUCUUUUUAUUUGUCUCAAUACUUUUAUUUCUUUAUUUCUUUAUUUUAAUCUCUUCUCUGAACCUCUUCUGAACACCACAUAAUAAAAAUAAGUUUUAGAUCCUUCCAGAGACCUUCCAGGAAUUUGCUACAUGAAAACCGAGGCAAGGAGACCCCAGGCCGAUUGGCCUAGCCACUCCUUUGCUCUCCUCUAGCUCUUCUUUCUGGUGAAGCUUCCUUAUCUUGUAUCUUUCCAAAAAUUUCAUAAAGCUCGACUAGAAACGGAACAGAUCUUCAUAUAAUGAGUUGUGUUCAAGGAAUUGGUAAUAAAAUUGAGAAAUUUGUGGUUCGGGUUUACGAAUUCAGUACAAAAAUAUGAUUGUUCCAAUGAAGAACUCUCAUUACUGAAUAUUGACGAGGCAAGCAUUCAAAGAUGGUAAAAAGGAUAUGAUCAAUUCUCAAAAUUAAAGCAAACCAAGAGAGAGCGAUCCUAAUUCAAUUCAAAGUGUCAAAUGUUGCUUAUGGUGGUAUGAAUAAAUAUUUUUAGGCAUUGGGUAGGAUAAAUAAAAACUCUCAACCUGGUUAAAAGAUAUUGAUCAAUCUUGUUUUUGCAGAGGUUUUAAAUAAAAAAUAAAAUUUUAAAUCACCUCCAAUUCAAAGCCUUACUCAUAAAUCAUAAUCAAAACUGAAGCACUUGAUCAUCAUAAAGCAUGGGUAUUGCAUAAACAAAUCGAUUACUAAAACUCCACAACUACGAUUUAGAAUUCAAGACAAUGCUCAUAAUCUAAAGUUGCAAAGAUAAAAUAAAAGACAACCAAGCCAAGGUAGACACUAAAAACACUUGCACGAUCCUUGAAUUUUAUUCAUGCUUCUUCUCACAAAGACGCUAAAGUAGCCAUGUAGGCCUAAGUCUUCCCAAAAGCUUAAGAAAACUACUACUUUAUCUACUUUUGGUUGAAAUAAAAAGACUAAUCUAGACUCUCACAUGAUUCGACUCGACCAAAUUAGAUCCAAAAACUCAUACGAGCGACGAUCUCCCCCCCCUCACGCUUAAAAUCUACGACCUCCUCGUCGUAGCCAUAUGGAGUACAAGGAAAAGAAGCUUGUAAACGCUCUAAUGACGCUACCCGCACUACUUGCACACGGGAUGGUUGCUGCUUCCUUCGCUUUGUUCUUCCUCAUGUUGCUGCACAUCCCGAAGAGCUUCCUCACGUUCCUCUGCAAGAACUUGAACUCGUCCUCCUGACGGCGAUCAUUAUCUUCUGCCUUUUGAUCCAGAGCUUGUAAGGCUUGCAUGAUGUCAUCGAACGCAUCGAAGAGGUAGUGGAUGUUCUUCCUGCAAGCUGUGGAACAUGUACGAUCAUGCUCCUCCGAUUCUGGCCCGUCGUCUUCUAGAUCCUUCUCUUUGCCCUUGUCUUGACGGUGGCUAUCUUGCUCCUUGCUCGCCUUCUUGCCUUCAGCCCAAUCCCAGUACGUGUUGUCAUCUUCUUCAUCGUCACGGCCUGCAGCACCCUAUGAUCCAUUGUCUAUCUUGUAUGAAAGAAUCAGAAGCUUGUUCUCCUCAGGGUGUCUUGCGCGGUGCAGCGUUUGCAAGUGCAAGACUUGCUAGUUCCUUUUACACAUUGUAAUGUUCAUUGCAUGCUCUAAUUGUUCUACAUUUGUAAUUUCUUGGUGAAGUUUGGUUACUGAUCCACUGUUUGAUUAACUCUUGGGCCCAAACACUGUACUACUUCUGAUUAGAUAUCUGUAUCUUGACUUUGACCAAAAAAAAUAUCCGGCAGUUUUUGCCAUUAAAGUUUCAUAAAUCAUCUUGCAAAAAUCGUACUAUACAACAAGGGACGGUUUAUUAUAAAAUAUACGUUCCCCUUAUCACAUGCCACUUCCACUCAAAAGGCAACGAAUCAGUUUUCAAUCCUGAGUGAGCAAUUUGCUUUUAUUACCGAUGCCUCCUAUUCCCUUGUGCACCAAGUUUAUUUUGGAUAGGGCUGCAAAAAACGACUAACCAGCUCGGAUUCUCCACCUGCAAAACCGCAUCUGCAGCAACCAACCCCACGCGGUGGAAAAAAAAACAAAACCUAGAAACCGGACGGGGGUGGAUGUGGGGCUCGGAGCCCAAGCAAAAAACGGAUCGGGAGCGCCGGAGCAGGCCAUCACCGGAUGUUAGAGAUAGAAAAUGGUUGAAGUUUGGAGUGGAAAUCAAACAAGCCUUGGAGCAAAGGAAAAAAAAAGAUCAAACCACUCAAGCAUUCAUUUGAUUUAGAAAAGAGAACAUUUGUUAAGGUGGGGAGUUGAAAUCAUCUUUUAAUUAGUUCCACGUAUCUGGUAUCAUUACAGUUGGUUUACUUGUGUAAGUAUAAGUAGCUCUGCCGAAGCCUUUGCUCCUAUAAUUUAGUAACUAGUACAAAUGGAUCAAUAGGAAAAUCAAGUUGCAAUCAUUUCUCAGCCAACCAAACCUAUGUAAAUCAAAUUAUUGUCCAUGCCCGGCAUGCACAGGUGCCUGCCAUGCAUGCAUUGUUGCUCCAUUGUAAUAACCAUUAUUGUCCAUCGAUGUUGCAGCGCAUGUGUGCACUGUGCAGACACCAAGCAUCGAGAUUAUGUACUAGUAAGGUGUUGAAAUAAUGGGCCUAGCCCAUAAGUAAUUUCAGAAUUUCAAAUAAAUCUCAAAGGCCCAUGUGGGCAAGAGGUGGAGUGGUGCAAGUCUUUAGUCCCACAUUGCUAGUCGAGGGGAGGGAUGACCAACUUAAAUAUGGAAGUUGUCUCCACUCCUCCAAGCUAUGUGUGAAGGGCGCGGGCGCGAGGCACUUGCGUGAAUGGUCCGCCGAAAUCUGGCCCCCCUUGCGGGGGCGCGGCUUCCUUUUGCCGUUUUAUUUUUUGGUUACUUGGUCGUUAAGUCAUGGAAUCCUAACCGGUUUAGAUCACGAUCGUGAAGGUUUUUGGGAAGCGCUCUGCGCGACUGCUCGAUCGCUUCUUCCGCUUCGUCAAGUUCUUCGUCGACUCCUUCACCACGGCUCGUCUACCUCUUCGUCGCUCGGGCCUCACUCGUCGUCGCGAACAACGUCAGGCUGCUGAUCGUCGUCGCCUGCUGUAUCCGGUAGUCGUCCAGGAGCCGGUUUUCAUCAAGAAAGAAACGUACGGUCUCUUAACUCACAUUAUGUCUUCCAUACUAGCUAUUAUGAUUGUUGCAGUCUGAUAGCUCUGGAUAGUAUGGUAGAAUGUCUGAUUCUAUUUGCAAUGAUAGACUUGUCUAGAUCUUGCGUAGACAUGUCUAGUUUAAUCUGCUGCUUGUUCAUCAUAUUCAUGAUUUAUUUCUGGAUUAAGUUAAAACUAAAAGUGCUUAUAUAUCCAACAUAAGGUACCAAGAACACGUGAAGCACCCGGGGGAGGCUGCUCCACUCCGCAUGCACAGGUGGGCACGGCACCACUACUCGUCUCCUUCAGGCUGAGGAUAAGUGAUGUACGCUGAUCAACAGACCACGACGGAACCAGCAAUAAUAGUUUCAGCCUGCCUCACAGUAAUUAAUAUAUCCUGUAUCCUCCGAGGACCCCUCCCCUUAAUCUUGGCCUAUUGCAUCCAAUAAUGAUAUGUGUGUUUAUCCAAAUUUACGGCACCUUUGGCGGGGGUUCCACCCAGCUCCGCCCUCUCCACCUUCGGUACUCCAUGGGAAACCAUUCCUUUGGAAUCAAGGAAGCUUGAACAGUAUAACGAAUAAAGUUUCAUAUAUCCAUUUGAUUUCACAUGAAAUAAAAUAUUCUGUCAGAACCAAUGGUUUCACUGAAGCUCCAGGCAGCGAGCGAAGGGGUGAGAGAGGAUAACGCUUACUGUGUGUUACCAUCGCGUGCACCAUGGAUGACCAACGCGCAGCCGAGAUGAAACGGCGGACCUAAACAGGUCCUCGCUAUUUUUGCAGGUUCUCGACCAGGCCAGUUCUUUAGGCCAACCUAUCAUUCACGAGUUAAACAUACGGUGGCUGGAGAAAUGUUCUAUUCUUUUAAACAAUACCAGCUGGUUCCUCCGUUUUUAUUCCACCAAUACAAGCACCACCUUGUAACAUUUCCUAUGUUUUUUUUCCUUUCGUCUGUUUUCUCACUACAUGCGUUGCUCUUUCAUGCAUUUUUUUCCAUUCCUGUAUUCCAAAUAGGUCUACAUGAACACAAAAUGAACUAGGGGACAGAAAAAGCCAGUGAAGUUAGUUUUGAGCUUCACCAGCUACUUGCUACAUAAAGUGUGCUAUAGUCGCAGAAAAGCUAAGCUGGAUCAGACGUGGCCGAAACAAUGCCAAAGAGCUAGGUCCCUAGCUGAUGGCAACACAUCAGAUGACUAGCCUGCUUUUCUGUAAUAAUGAUAUUGAGCAAUACACUGCAUGGCUAACCUGCUUUACAAUAAUUGUCAUUUUAUAAUAUUGGUCAUCACGAGAGAUGCACAUUGCAUACACCGGCCCAUCCCUAUAAAUAGCCAAGCCUUUCAGCCAUCUUGGGCACCUCCUCUCAGGGCCUCGUCUCACCAUCAGACAUCUCGUUCCCAGUUAUAAUUUGCGAGGUUAGAUCAGGCUGCGCCAUGGCGUCCGCAACUGCUGUCAAGAUCGUCGCCACCUUCAUGCUGGUGCUGACCAUGGGCCACCUGAUGGCCGAAGCAUCACCGCAGCCUCGGCGUGUGCUUGCAGAAACGGAGCAUGCUGCGGUGUCCGGGAAUCCUGGCCUCCCAGGUGAUGCUAGCGUCAUGCAGGUCCUCGAACCCGCCCUAGUUUCUCGGCUUGCCUGCAAACCAGAGUGCACAGUCCCUUGGCCUCCUUUUGUAUGUAUCUGCUAGAUCCUCUUCCUGGCUCAACGGAACUUCAGGGAAAUGGCUGUGACGUCGGCCAAAGAAUAAAUUGGAUGAACAUAAUAUACCCCGGGUAGUGUAGCUUGGGCUUUUGUUGAGCGUCUGGUGCUAGUUGUAUUUUGUUUGCUCAUGUGGCUUUGCUUCUGGUUGCAUAUUGGCUUUCCUAUCGCUCUCUGUUGCAGCUAUGGUUUCUGCCAGGUGUGUGUUAAUGCGGUUUGUAAGCGGUGCUUGUUCCUACCUUCUGUUUUCAAUAAAAGAAGUCGGAGUCUCCCUCCGACUCUUGUUAUCAGUCAACAAAAAUGAGUUGUAUCAUAUAUAUCUGCGUCUUUUUUCUACGUAUCUUUGGGCUGCUUCAGCUGGAAGUUUAUCGUAAGUACGUGUAUCAGGAUGAUCGUUUGAAUUAAAACGAAAUGAUAAUGUGUGGCUGCUAGAAAUGGAAUGAGCAUCUUACUAUAUUACUAAUUGGAAGCCUCCACGUGAAGCCACCUAGAAAUUCUAGGUGGACGUUUUAAAAAAAACAAAACUCAUAGAAGCCUCCACCACCUAGGAAUCCUAGGUGGACACUCUAAAAAGAGACAAAUCCUAGAAAUUCUAAAAAAAGAAAAAAAUAAUAACAAUAAGAUUUUUUUGCAGUCAAUUACAUAUAUUUUUUUGAGACACCGUGCUGCUAGCUCUUGCCAUUGCGACCAGUAAAGCAAGCAGAUAGUAAGAUGACAUGCGUGUGGAUUGAUUAAAACAAAUUCAGUUAGUUGAUUCUAAAUCGUAUGUAUCCUAAAAGGAAGAUAUGUGCGUGCAUGGUCCCUAGCGAUGACAUGUAGACAUGUAUUGCAAUUUCUUUUUUAAAAAACAUGUCUAUCUCUAAACCAACAAACAGAAAAAAUAUCAAUCUAAAUCUAAAUCUCUUCCGUUCUCACACGCCUAUUAAAGAGAAGACAACCAAUCCCAUCCAUGUUCCAUAGAAUCCAUCUAAAAGCUUGCUCACUGCGGACGGCAUUUGACGGCAAAUCAAUGAAAGAUCAUCCUCUCCAAAUAGCUGGACGGCAUCACCAUCUUUAUCUCACCAACCUACAGAGCUACAACGAUGUUGUAGAGAUCAACUAGGUAACCUACCAAUCACCCUCCCCUUUUCUAUAUGCUCUAAAGAACACGUGGAGUAAUUAUAGGCCUAUAGGAGCCGACUAACCUAGAUUAAUAUGAAAAAUAUUCCAAUAUUAAAAGCAAGCAGAUAGUAAUACUUGCCUUUGACCAUUUUUCUAGAACUGUUAUUCCUAUUGAAUGUUCAAGUGCUACGGCCAGGCAUCGAAUGCCUGCACGGAACCUUCCUAUUGAAUGGUUACUCUAGAGAUCAACGCACCGCGAGACAUUUUUAUGGAAUUUGUUUGAUUCCCCUUCUACAAUUAGAUUAAUUUUUCAUGGCAUAUAUUACUACUAUUAAAUUAUUUGUUUAUUGUCGGGCCUGCUGCAUGUGUGGUAUAUAUGACUUGCUUCUCACCAUUGUUCUCAAACUAUUAUUCCUAUCGAAUCUUUCUAUCGAAAUAUAUUUUAAUUACUUGAUUGUUGUUUGUGUACCAUAACUUCUGUAUAGAAAAAUUCCAUGUUUGUAGAUAAUGUCUUUUGUAUAGAAAAAUAGCCCAAUUAGAUCCAUCACCAUCUUUUGCUUAUGUAGUUGAACAAGUUGCAAUGUUGAACAAAACUUUAAGUGAAAUUAGACCAGGAAAAGGAAUUGUGGAACAUUAAGGCAAGGGUAACCAGAUUGUGGAAUGCAACCUUACUCAGUAGUGGCGAACAAUUAAGUCUUGACAUGAUCCUUAUUGAUCAAAAGGUAUGAUAGAUGUUCACUUUGAUUGCAUUAUUGGUAUAAUUUUUGGUUUACAAAUUAUUAAUGAUGAUGCAAAAUUAGGGAACCAUGAUCCACGGUGUUAUCAAUAAGCCCUAUAUGAAAAAGUUCAAACCAUUGAUUGAAGAAGGCAAUGUGUACAUAAUUGCAAAUGUCAGAAUCACACCAGAACCACAGAAGUAUCGGCCAGUGGAAAAUGACAGGAUAGUCAACUUCUUACCCACAACUGCACUAAAAACGAUCAAAGAUACUGAAGACAUUCCAAAGUAUAGUUUUAACUUCAUGAGCACGGAUAUGCUUUCAGCAAGAAUAAAUGUGGACAUGUACCUAUUAGGUAAAACAUUACUGGCUUUUCAAUUUUUACACUUCCACUCAUUAAAUGACCAUCUAAUAAUAAUACAUAUUUAUGUUUCAUAGAUGUUAUAGGUAUCUCAGCUCACAUUGGACCGAUAGAAGAAACAAGGACAAACUUCGGAUUUACUAAAAUCCGUGAUAUUGUGCUCCUGAUCGAGUAAUUCUCUUUUCUUUUGUAGAAAACAACUACAAAACUUUCAACAUUUACAUGUAUGUUAUAGAACUUCUGUUGAACUAAAAAAUAUCUUCUACAGUGCCCCUACAAAUAAUUAAUUUCGUAGUUGGAUAUUUAAAAUAUUUAUUAUUCACUUUUAAAUUUGUGGCCAUGAAGUUAAAGUUAGAUUUUGGGGAGACAAAGUUGAGGAAGUUGAUGAUAAGACAAAAUCCCAUGUCAUUGCAAUAACAUCUACAACUGUGAGUAAAUUUGGCAGUAAGUCUUCAUUCAAUAUGAGUUAUUCAAUAUUAGUCAUUCAACAAACUAACCUCGUAAGAAAAAUAAAUAAUUGAUGUUUUAUCAGGGUAUUCUCUAUCGUCAACCAAUGCAACAAAACUUUAUGUAGAUCUACCUAUUCCUGAAACUAAGGAUGCACAUGAUAGGUGAGAAAAAUUAGAUAUUGUUUUUCUAUUUUAAUCUAUGUAGCAUGCACUCUAACAUGAUACAUUCUUUCAUAUGAUAAAAAAAUGUUAGUUCAAUUGAAAAUAUUGUCAAAGAGAUUCAUAUUGAGGACCAUCUAAAAGGGACAUUGGAAGACCAAAUGCAGUACAAUAGAAGAACUUUAGAAGAAUUAAAUUUCAUAUUAUUUGAAACAUCAAAUCAGGUAUGGAUUAGUAUGUUCAUUGUACACUAUACUAUUUAAAGACUUACAUACAUAAUGAUGGUAUUGUUCCUACUUUCAGGAUGAGGUAUUUACUAUUGAAGCAACAAUAAAUGAAAUUAAUGCAACAUAUGGUUGGUUGUCACACCCGAUUUUAAGGACAAAAUUGAGUGCAUUAAAUACAUGUGCACCAGGAUCAAGUUACACACAUCCUAUGAGUACCGUCCUUCUUUGGCACAAAGAUAACCGGUGCUCCCCAUGGUGAUGAACUAGGCCGAAUAAACUAUUUUGCUGAUAAUUCCUCUAGUUGUUGUUUCAAUUCUUUUAAUUGUUCAACCAACAUUCUAUAAGGACGUUUGGAGAUAGGUGCAGUACCAGGUAAAAGAUCAAUAGCAAAUUCAAUGUCGCGGUCAGGUGGCAUACCUGGUAAAUCGUCGGGGAACACAUCCGGAUAGUCACACACCACUUUGAUAUCUUCCAAGGAUUUUCCAGCCAACUGAUUAACUGCACAAUCUGCUGCUGAGGGUAGAGUAGCUACAAACUCCACUUUCUCUCCAUCAGGACCUGUUAGCAGAACUGUCCUCUUGGCACACUGAAUCGUUGCAUCAAAAGCGGCUAACCACCUCAUCCCCAGAAUUACAUCGAUUCCACUGGACUCAAGGACGAUAAGAUCAGCCGGAAACUCUAUACCCAUUAUUCUCAGUUUAACUUGUGGACAGAUGUAUUGAGCCUUCAUUGACCCCCCAGGUGAACUCACUAGCAUAUGACGCCUCAUGGUAUGCAUGGGUAAAUUAUGCUUUGCUACAUAAUGACUAGUGACAAAAGAAUGCGAUGCUCCAGAGUCAAAUAAAACUGAUGCGGGGGCAGAGUUGACAAAGAACAUACCAAGCACUACAUCUGGAGCCUCCUUAGCAGUCUCGGCUUCCAUGUGGUUCACCUUGCCACAAACAAAGCUUUGCUGCCCCUGAUUGCCUUGUGGGGUCUGGUUCCCAUUCCUCGGUUGCUGCAUCUGAUUCUGCCGAGGAGCACUGCUGUUCUGCACGGGGGUAGCUGGCCCACCUCUCUUAGGACAAGAGCUGGCAUAGUGACCAACCUCGCCACACUUGAAGCAGGUAGGACCCACUGGAGCAUUGGGCCUUGUUGGAGUGCCAGUAGGGGUCAUCUGGCGGUUCUGCGUAAAGCUUGGGCGCGGAGUCUGCAUAGUCUGCAUCCCUGGAUGCUGGAACUGAGGGCUAGGGCGCUGGAAUGACUGCUGAGCAGGGCGCGGAAAUGAGUGCUGCCAAAAAUUCCCACUCGGGCCCCCUGCGCGGAACGGCGUCCCUUGCUGUGGAGCAAAGCGAGGGCGGGUGUUGCUUCCUGAAGACUACUGGGAAUUGAAUUUCCUCUUCAUCUCCCCGAGCUCGUUCCUCUUGUGUUCCAGGCCAAUUGCCUUGUCUAGCAUCUUCUGGAAACUGGGGAAGGUGUGCGACAUAAGCUGAUAUUGGAGUGGUCCAAUCAACCCAUCCAAGAAUAGCUCCUGCUUCUGCUCAUCAUCAGCAACAUCUUCGGGAGCAUAUCGGGACAACUGGACAAACUUGUCCCUGUACUCUGCCACUGUCAUGUUCCCCUGCUUGAGAGCAAGGAACUCCUUCUUCUUAAGCUUCAUCAAUCCGGAAGGAAUAUGAUGACUUCUGAAGCUAGUCCUGAAUUCAUCCCAGGUGAUGCCAUUAGCAUUGGCAUGGGUGGUGGUGUAAGCAUCCCACCAAUCAGCAGCUGGCCCUUCCAGGCGUCCUGAAGCAUACAGGACCUUCUCCCUGUCAGUACAUUGGGCGAUAUCCAGCAUCUUCUCCACUGUUUUCAGCCAAUCAUCAGCAUCUAAUGGAUCCGGAGAAUGUGAAAACGUCGGGGGCUUGUGGCUCAUGAACUCCCUAUGCCUGUCCCUUGGCGGCGGCUGCUGCUGGUUGUUGUUGUUGUUAUUGUUCAGCUGAGCUUGUAAAGCUGCCACGGUGUUGGUCAGUCCGGCGAGAAGCUGAGUCUGAGCUGCUAGAAACUGCUCCAUCCCUGCAGGUGCUUGUUGGUUCUGUUGCGGAGCGGUGUUGGGAUUGCUGCUGUUGUCCCUGUGGCGUGGCACUGUGGGACGGUCAACUCCUGAUCCGGACCUGGUGUUUACCAUCUGAGCGUUAGAGACAAUGGAUUUAGAUAGAUGUGUGAAAGAAUAACUGAGAAAGAUAAAGCGACCAGAUGUAAAAGUAACACAGAUUCUGUUAGCUCCAUUUAAUUAGGUGUGGUCGUCAGAAGAAGUGUCCAUAAAUUCUGAACAAUUACCAAGUCGUAACUUAUUAAAUUUGUAAACCAACCCAACUGGAAUCAUCUCAAUCGGACUUCUGGAUCUCGAGUUACAAAAUUAACAAGCUGACAGUGUCGGUCGAUAGGUUCAGAUUCUGAGUGCUUUACUAAUUCGCAUACACCUCCCAGACAGAUACACCAAAAAUUCUGAAAAAUUUACAGAUAGUACUCCACGAAAUUCUGAAACUAACCCCACUGGUUUCAUGUCAUUUGGACUUCUGUAGCUAGAGAUAUAAAUAAAAAAGUACUGGCGUGUCAGUUAAUGUCGAGAACAGAAUUGAAUGUCGCUUAGCUUGCGUGAUGGAUAGAUUUAGACAGAUGGUAGAUCAUGAUUAAGGAAGAUUAAAUACUGAUUUAGAACAGAAAUAAAACCCAACUAAGCACUUUAUUUAUUAAGACCAGUAUCGUGUGGCAAUUGCCCCACAUACCGCACUCAUUACAAAAUCCAACUCAAACAUGUAGCACAAAACCAAUCAUCUAAGCACACUUUAACUAACACACUCGAACGACGUCUAACGAUUACAAGAAUUUAAACUAAAACACUCCUAAUUUCCUAGAGGUCUUCUGCGGCGGUGCCGGGCGAGUCGUAGCGGGGACGCUUAGGCGACGGCGACGAAGCGGGAUGAACAGCAAACUCCUGCGGCGGCGGUGCUCCCGUCGCGGCAGCCAUAUUCGCAUCCCUCUCCCACCGGAGUUCCUGAACCUCCUGUUGAAGCUCCUGGAUGUGGUUGUUUGCUUCAUUCAAUGCGGUGAGAGCUGCCGACGUGUACUUGCGGAGGAAGUCUGUAGCCAUGUCAACCCCAUCGUUAGUAGCGAUGAAGGUUCUUGCUUCCCCACUAGCUCGGUAAGGAAGGAACCGAUGGUAAGUGUGCUGCAAUCGCGGCCGUUCCUUGUGGGAGACGACCUCAAGUGCCCUCCUGGCGGCCUCGGCAAUGCCGGAUUCCAUGGUCCUCCUUAUGGUCACAUCAUGGUGAAAAGCCUUCACCUCCCAUCCUCCCUCGUGCUCCUCACGAAGGACAACCUUCACCUCCCAAAAAGUGGGAUAGCGAGGGUGGGUGAACCGGGAGCACUUGUAGAGUGGCCUCAUGCCGUACCCCAAGCGGUGACAAGUCCACCUGAGUAUGUCGGCCAUGUGCACUCCUUGGCCAUAAUCUUCCUUCACCCAUUUGAUCCAUGUCUCGGGCUCGGGAUCUGCUUCGGGCUCAUCAUCCGUCAAGUCGACGACCGGUACGGGCGUCGGGGCUGGUGCAGGAGCGGGCGCCGGUGCUGGCGACGGUGCUGGUGACGGCGUGGUCUCCUGCUCCACGGUCACGGCGUCCCCGUCAGAGUCAUCCCCCGGAUGCUGGAAGAUCUCUUCCUCUUCUUCCUCGUCCCAAGGCUCCAUGGGGGCGUACGACGGCGCGAUGCCAUGACGCGGCGGACGGGUGCUCUUGCGUGCGGUCAACCGGGUGCGAGCCAUCUAACAGAAAGAAAGAAGAAAAUUUUAGAAUAAAAUUUUGAACAAAGCUAGAUAAUAAAAUAGCAAUAAGGAUGAGACAAAUCAAGUUUAAGAAUAAUUAAGUAGAUUUAAAUUAAGAAAGGUAGGAAUGGCUACUAGAUUAUUAUAAUCCUUAAAUACGACCAUUUUCUAACUAGGCUAACGUCCUACAGUCAACACGGCUCUGGUACCACUUUUGUCACACCCGAUUUUAAGGACAAAAUCGAGUGCAUUAAAUACAUGUGCGCCAGGAUCAAGUUACACACAUGUACGACAAUAGUGAAUAGUAAAGCCAGUGCUAAAUCGAAUAAAGAGAGUAUUAACCAUUAUUACAUGACCGAAUGUCUCAAAUAAACCACAAAGUCUAAUUAUUACGCAGCGGAACUCCAAAGAUGACGACGACUCCAUAGGCAGCUGACUGAAGAAACGUACGCCUAGAACUCCUCGAAGUCGUGGAAGUACUCCUCUUCCCAAUUAACUUGGUCUGAACAGCGGUUUUGCAAGGGUGAGUACACUUAUGGUUGGUACUCAACAAGUCGUGGGAAGUAGUGUAGUGUAAGGCUAAUUCAAGGUAUGGCUAAGGCGUAAAUAGCAUUCGCUUUUAAUUAAGUUGGUCAAAUUUUAUUAGCAUUUACUAAGUAUAAGUUCAUACCACCCGAAAUUAAACAUGAACAUAAAGUAAACCACAUGUGCAUGAAAUGAUAACAAAUUAAAUCCAUCUUCCGAUAAUAUUAUCAUGUGAGGGUCCAGGCCGCUCUUAACCGUGAGCACGGCUGAUUGAUCAGUUUAACACUCUGCAGAGGUGGCACAUCUUUACCCACAAGUCGCGUAAAAGUUCAAAAGAACUUUGGACCCAACCAUGCGGUGUUUGCAAGGCACCAUACCACACUUCCGAGGUGUGAUUGCAUAGGGACGCUACGAGGCCUUUACAAAGAUUCAUUAAUCAGUGGUAACCCGCUAAGGUUUCGGUGUCUGGCGUGCACCACCCAUCCCAGGUAAAAUGCAACGACUCAGUCCCCCCCCUUGAAUCAUCACGAGUAAGGUCACCCCAGACUAAGGUUUCUAAUUAAUCAGCCAAGACCAGAGCUAUUUAGUCUUGUGGUAGCACUGUUUUCCUGGGUGGUCGCUCCAUGUUCUGAUUAACAAAUAAUGAUCUUGUCUUAAUGAAAGGUAUAACAGAAAUAAGGCAAGAUUAAGCAUUGUUUUUAGUUAAACCACCAUGUACCAAGUAAGCACUAAGCAUGAGCUACCCAACAUAAAGUAAACCGGUUGGUCAAGGCAAAGGUAAAACAAUCUAGGCCAACCUUAAUUGGGACCCAUCAAUUUAAUCUUAAUAUGUGCACAGCAUAAAUGUUGAGUACGAGAAAGUAAAGGUGUAUAGGACAAAAAGGUAGUGAUCAAGGACACGACUUGCCUUCUUGGCCUUGCUCCUGCUGUUCGUACUCCUCGAAGGCUUGAUCGGCAACUCCCUCGAACUGCGGGGCGUCUACACGCAUCACACGAGCACAUACAAGCAAACAUGGGCAAAAGUAAGAAAACAGUAUACCAAACAUAGUCAAACAGAGAAAACAAGCUUGAAAAGAUGAUCUACGCUUUAAAACGAACACGCGGAUAUAAAGAACGCGAAAAACGGAGUUAAGAUGCAAAAGAUAUGAUUAAAACAAAAUCCAGGGACUUUUCUGUAAGAAAAACAAAACUUUUAGGGCCUAUCCGCGAAAACCGAGGGCUUAUACGUAAUUAUGCGUAUAAACCGAGGGUCUGAUGCGUAAAAACAUCAAACCCGGACGGCGGGUUGAUUUCUGGAAAGGUCAAGGGUUAAACCGAAAAAUGCGAGGGCAGAUCUGUAAAUACUUUCAACGCGAUCUGGACCGCGGGUUGAUUUGCGAAAAAGGCGGGGGCUAAAGUGCAAAAACUGCACGGCGCGGCUCGGUUGACCGGUACGCGAUCUUGAUUGACUCGCGUCCGGCCGUCGGAUUAAGAUCCGACGGUCGCGGUGAUCCGCGACAUCGCGGCGGCGGCGGCGAGCGGCGGCGAGCGGCGGCAAGCGGCGGCGGGUCGCCGGAGUUAGGCAAAAUAGCGCCACGAGGCACGGUUUAACGCGCGGGUUGCACCAAAAAAGAGAGGGGAACACGUCGAUCCCGUUUUGGGGGUUCUUGUCGACGGGGGCUCACCGGCGACGGCGAACGGCGGCGAGGAAGAGGCGGCGGCGCUAGGAGCUCGGGCGGCUAGGGUUUCGGGGAGCUGCGGCGCUGGUUUUGGGCGGAGGAGACUGGGAGGAGGCGGCGGCUUUUAUAGGGCUUGGAGAUAGAGCCGGCGCGGGUUCAAAUCCCCCGGAGGAGUCGGAGCGGAUGGAGUCCGGGGCGGAGACGGCGCGCGGCGGUUGCGGAGUUCUGACCGGAUUCGGCCGGAGGUGGGAGACGAUGGGUGGGGUCCACCCGUCAGUGGCGGAGGGGAGCGGUAGACGGGCCGGCGCGACCGUGGGCUGGCGCGCGCUCGUGGGCUGCGGGGAGCGGGAGAGAAGCGGCGAGCGGGCGCUGGCGGAGCAGGCCGAGCGGAGGUAGAGCUGGGCCGCGGAGAAAAAGGAGGAGGCCGGCGGGCUGCUUCGCAGGCCGGUAAGGAUGAGGCGGCCGGGCCGAAGAAGAAAAAGAAAAGGAGGGACAAGGAGCUUUCGGCCGAGGGAAAAGAAGAAGAAAAAGAAAAGGAAGAAGAAAAGGGAAAAGGUUUUGGAAUUUGAAUUUAAAUCUGAAAUUCAAAAUUUGAUUCAAACUCAAGCAACCAAAAAUUAUGCUCCAGCAUGAAUGCACAAAUAAUUCCUAUGAUGAAUUAAUUGAAUUAAAGAAAAUGAAUUUAAAUGCCUAGAAAUUAAAUAACACCCUAAUUUGAGCAAAUUUUAAUGAAUUUGAAUUAUUGAAAUUUUGGGUGUUACAUUGGUACUACAUCUCAUGUAGUAGAGGCGAUUGUAAGAAGCAACUUGAAAAGAAGUUUGAUCACUACUAUUGCAAUAAAUGUGACAAGAGAGCCGAACCUAAAGCCCAGUAAAUUAUUUAGUAGUUUACAAUCUUAUUAUAAUACUUCUAUUUCUAAUAGGAGAAUAAUAUUUUCAGAUUCAAAUUAAGCUUCAAAUAAGUGAUCCAACAACAAGUGCAACUUGUGUACUUUUGACAAGGAAGCAGAAAUGAUAAUUAAUGAAUGAGCAGAUUCGAUGAUCACCUCAGUUGAUCAUGAUAAUAAGUAGCUACCAAAAUCAAUUCAGGAAAUAUGUGAAGAAACAUUGAUUUCUCAAUUCAGAUUGACCGAGUACAACUUGACAAGUUUUAGACCUGAUUAUACUGUUUCAAAGAUAUUUUUUCCAAAAGAAAAGGGCAGUUCAAGAAUUGGUAUGGAAAGUGUAAAAAAGGUAACACUUUAUUAUUAAUUUUUUAUUGCACUUUUUUCUUUUGAAUCCGUAAUACUUAAUAAUUUUACUAUAUCAAUGAAACAAAUUCUAACCUAAAUUUAUUUUCUUUUUUAUUAUUUGUAGGAAGUAGAAGACAACUCAGACAAAUGCUACACGAUAACUACCGAGAAUGAAGAGGUAGACACUGAUGACUCUUUUACCGAGAAAGUAACAUUCGUAGAAGAAGCCAUAAGGACUGGGGAAAGAUUGGCUAGAAAAGUAUACUCACUUCCAUGUCAGUGUUCAUUCUAUUUACAAUACAUGCAAAAAAAAUAUUAUUCAUGCAAAAUUGCAGGUCUACUAAGCAUUAAAGGAAUAGCGGAUAGUGCAAUAUGUAAUCUGAGCAGCAUGCAUUACAAAGUGCUCUACUGCAAUUAAAUUAAAAAACAUGAUAUAUGUUGAAUUCUUAGACUUUAUUAUUAUACUUUUCUACGUGACAAUUCACAAUUUUUUAGAAAAAAGAAGAUCCCAGAAGAAGUGACCAUGAAAAAAGGUCUAUGACCAGCAAUAAGAAAAAAUGCAAGCAUAGAAACAAAUCCGUAGAAAACAUAGAAAAUAAGGUACUCCAUAAACAAAAGUAUUCUCUUAUAUUUUUAUUAAAUAUUUUUUUAACACUUGACAAGUUCUUUUUUAGGAUCAAUAUAUCAGCAAUUCAGAUGUCAUUGGAGAUGAAACCUUAGUUCAUCCAAAAGGUCAAAAAAAAACAUCUGAAGAAAGGUGUUUGGCUGAAAAGGAAAAGCAAAAAAGUGGUAAUGCAGACAAACACAUGCAGAAAAAUAUAAAAACAUGUCAUAGGGAGGCAGACCAAUCUUGCAAGGAGGUAUAGACGAAACGUGAUACACGACCUGCCUACCUUGUCGUGGAUACCCCAAGAAGAUGUCAUAGAGGUGCAGACCAAGCUAGCAAGGAGGUCGAAACGUGAUACACGGCCUGCCUACCUUGCCGUGGAUAUUAGCCCUGAGAUCAUUCUACUGUUCAAGGAAUAACACUCAAUGCUGCUGCUGCUGCUGACCUGGCUCCAUAAAGUUAUACUCCUCUAGGUGCUUGCACUAACUUUAUCUGAAGUAUUAUUCUCUCUGCACUGUAUAUAUGGUUAUGGAGUUUGCUGGAGUAUCCGGGGCGAAGAACCUACAUAAUACGUCUUGGAACUAAUUGACAUUGAUUCACAGACAAACUCUACAAGGUGCUGUUCUUGCCAUUUUAGAGCAUCCAAAGGACUAUAAAUAACAUAGUUUACCAUAUACCAUAUACCAUAUACCAUAAUAUGUUAGCUAAAAUAAGAGCAUACACAUGUUGCAGGAGUCCAAAAGCACCGGUUGAGGACCAGGUACAUUGAAUUACUAGAAAAAGACAGGGGACAAGGUUUAGGUAACCACAUGAAACAUUUGAAUUUAUUGUACUAUGAACACUUAGUUACCAUGCCAGGAGCACAUAGUUAACACUAACAUUUAGCCACUUUAGAUCAUCCCGAAUCACCAAUGACCCUCAAUAGUGACAAAUUUUGGUUUAAAUGCCAUCACCAAUGAUCCUCAAUAGUGACGUAUUUAGGUUUAAAUCCCGUCACUAAUAACCCUCAAUAGUGACCUGUUUUGGUUUAAAUCUCAUUACCACUGAUCCUCAAUAGUGAUGUGUUUUAGCAAAACAUGUUAUCAAUGACUUGUCAUUGGUGACGUGUUAAAACGCGUUAUCUCAAUGGCAAAUCAUUGGUGACGUGUUAUCUCAAUGUUAUCAAUGUUCUAUUCUUUUCAACAAUACCAGCUCGUUCCUCCGUUUUUAUUCCACCAAUACAAGCACCACCUUGUAACAUUUCCUAUGUUUUUUUUCCUUUUGUCUGUUUUCUCACUACAUGCGUUGCUCUUUCAUGCAUUUUUUUCCAUUCCUGUAUUCCAAAUAGGUCUACAUGAACACAAAAUGAACUAGGGGACAGAAAAAGCCAGUGAAGCCAAUUUUGAGCUUCACCAGCUACUUGCUACAUAAAGUGUGCUAUAGUGACGUGUUUUAGCAAAACAUGUUAUCAAUGACUUGUCAUUGGUGACGUGUUAAAACGCGUUAUCUCACUGGCAAAUCAUUGGUGACGUGUUUUAAAAAAACAUGUCACCGUGAGAGUCAUUGGUGAAGGGUAAUUAAAAUGCGUCACUAAUGUUGUAGCAUUAGUUAUGAUAAUUUAGUAACGCAAAAAUCUACCAUCAGUAUUGAGCUUUAGAGCCAUCGCUAAUGUGGGUUUCUUACAUAGUGAUGCAAGCUCUACAAGGUGCUGUUGCUGCCAUUUUAAAGCAUCCCAUGACUACAUGUUAAUAACAUAGUUUACCAUAUAUCAUAAAAAUAUUAGUUACAAUAAGCACAUACGCAUGUGGAAGAGUCCGAAUGCACCGGUUGAGGACUAAACACAUUGAAUUACUAGAACCAAAUGUAUGUUUAGAACAAAGACAGGGGUCAAGGUUUGGGUAACCGCAUUAAAAACAUUGGAUUUUACUGUACAUGAACACUUAGUUACCAUUACCAUGCCUUGAGCACCUAGUUACAACAAACAUUAAUUUAGCCACUUUAGAGCUUCCAGAAUCGCUAUAAAUAAUAUACCUACGCCGUACCAUGAAAACAUCAAGAAGAGAGACGGAUACAUGGACCACCAUCAAGCGAGUAGUGACAGCACGCACAAGAAUACCCGGAACCUGUUAGCUUGUCUGUAGUGAUCUGUUUUCUUCCCCAUAAAAUCCAUGAGUAUUGCCACAAAUAAUGAAAGAGGCUGACCAAGCUAGCAAGGAGGUAGAGCAAACGUGAUACACGGCCUGCCAAGAUUGCCCUGGAUACGCCAAUAAGAGCGACAGAUACAUGGAUCACACCAAUAUGGUGAAACGUAUAUUCAUCACACAAGCAAAGCUGGUCAGUUUAUCCAUGGUCAAAUUGUGGUCUUUGUUUUCACUUGAGAGCUAAUUGAGGCACUAUAAUAUGGGCAGGCCUAUCUUCAACAGACAUGACAGCUACAGGGAACUUGACAUAAUUUGCUGGGCCGCCUGUGCACAAUUAUUUGUUUUAUUGUCCUUGCAUAGAAUGCUAAAAUACUCUUUACAAAAUGUUGGAUCUAAUAUUUGAAAUAUAGAGUAGUAAUCAUAUAUUGAUCAACAACUUGAAAUUAUCUGUACAUUCUCGGUGAAGCUGUUGAACUAAUUUUUGCAAAUUAUUAAUUCAUCUCAUUACGUAAAGAAAAAAGUAAGUGGAUAAGAUAUUUCGUGGACCACAUCACUGCAAACAUGUCAUGGAGAGACAGACCAAGGAGGCAGGACGUGAUACACGACUUACCCUAGGUUGCCGUGGAACCGCCAAGAAGAGAUACAGAUACAUGGACCACACCAUCUUGGGAGUAGUGACAGCAUAUAUGCAGAAGAAUACCCCGUGCCUAUUUGCAUGCAUGUCUCAAGUGAUCUGUUUUCUUCAGAAAAUACAUGAGCAUUGCCAGAAAGAAUGGCAAGAGACAAACAUGUCAUAGAGACUUGCAUGUCUUGCCUUGGAUACGCCAAGAAGAGGGACACAUACAUGGAUAACACAAAUCUAGUGACACGUAUAUUCAUCACAAAGGCAAAUCUGAUAAUUUUAUCCAUGGAGCAGACCAAGGAGAAAUUGAUGACGGACAUGUGAUCUCUGUAUUCAGUUGAAAGCUAAUUGAGCUACACUAAUAUGAGCAGGACUAUAUUCAAGAGACUUGUUGAGAGCUACAGGGAACUUGUAAUAAUUUGCUGGGCGGCCUGCGCACAAUGAUUUGUUAUACAUAGUUGAAAUAUUUCAAGAAUUUAUCAACCUCAUACUCUGAAACCCUUGGUGCAAUGUACUCUGCUUUCCGAGGUAGACUGUUCACGUAAAAUGAGGUCAUGCGUAAGACGGAAUCGGAUUGGAUUCACAGGGAAUCAGAUUUGGAUAGCACCUUUUAGCAGGUUUUUAGUCAAAUGCAAAUUCGGAUCCACAUGUGGUUGAAUGCGAGUUCAAAAUUCUACUUGGAUAUCCAUUUAAUUUAGGUGAUAGCAAUUAGCACAAAAUGUUGGAUGAACAAAAUCAUAGUUAGACAUACAAUUACAUGUAUGGUUAAAGUAUAAUACAAUACACCAAGAUUAUUCCUUGAAAAUAUUUCUUAAAAAUAUUAUAAUAAAUGAAUAAAUAUAAUUGUGGCCACCAACAAAUAGUCGGUGGUCGCUAAGUUGGAGCCAUUUCUGGUUACUAAUGCGGCCUUCUCCUCGACCAGCGACGACAGCUGAGCUUGUUCCUUCUGACACUAAAUCAUCAGAGUCUUCCCUCCACUACUAUAGAAUGCACCUUUAGCACCAAUUGGGAAAUCCCCUUCAGUAUUGGAUGCUGCAACCAGUGCUAUAUAUCAAAAUGGAGACUAAAAGCCUCGGUCUUGGGUACCGGUUGCAUAACGCAUUACUAAAGGAGGCAAAAGAGAAAUGUAACAAAAAAAAUAUUUUGAAUUCCAAGAAUGUUUCACUAUUCAAGAUGACUAGCUGAGAGUCAACAGACAAGAUACUAGGAAUGUGGGUGCUUGAAUGCAUUUGUACAGAGGUCAUACUAUUUACAAACUCUUCUAUGUUUCCAUAUGACUACCUACUUCAAUGUCACGCGAGCCAUUCAGCUGGACACAUGGCACACUAGCUUGCAUGUCGAAUCCAUGAUUAAUUAUUUGCACUUGUGAUCUCUUACCAGUAUUUGUCCAGACUAGAAACGUGCAACACAUUUUUAGGAUAUGGACACGCAUAUAUUUGGACUAGUAUACAGGUCACCUUUGGAUGCGUACAAGGAUGACCGGGAGGGACUAAUGGAUACAAGGAAGGGACCAUCAGGAUUAAUAUUGACAUAUGCCACAUGACAAUCUUCAUUGUCAUGCAAUCCCUAUCAACAAUCAUGGAAUCCCUAGUGUACUAAUCCCUGGAGGGUUGUGUGGAAAUUUAUUUUACCUUGCGGUGAAAAUCUCAUGAGCAGUCAUUAGUUAAGCUGACUAGCUGAGAUAUAAUAGACAAGCUAGUAAGAUUGGGAGCAUCAAUGCAUCCAUACAGGGUCACAAUAUCCUUUCCAUUCACUUUUAUAUAUAACCCUACGAAUACAAGUCCAACGAAAUGCGGGCCUUUCGAUCAAGAUAAAUUAAAUGGCCCACUUGUAUUUCUAAUCCAGGAUUAACUAUGCCCUCUGUUCAUCUCUUGCAAGCACGUGCAACACAUUUUCACGAUAUGGACAUGCAUGGAGGUUAUUAUACUGUUUGGACAAACUCUGAUGUGCCAUGACCUAAAUGCUUAGGGCCUGUUUGGUUUGAGUUGCUUAUUAUAAGCAACUUAAAGUUGCUUAAAGUUGCUUAUUUGAAGUUGCUUAUUUUUAGUCUAAACUGUUUGGAUACCCUUGCUUAUGAGCAUUGAAUGAGUUGGACAUUGUCAAAUUUGCCCCAUGUGUUGCUACCCCUCCAAUUUGCCUCCCCACCCUUCUUCUUCCUGCACACGUCCGAUCCCGGGGGCCGACGGCGGGCAGGGAGCAGCAGCAGCUGGCCAGGGCGGCGGUGGGGCGGGAGCGGCGGCGCACACCAGCACGCGCUCGCACGCCAGGUGCUAGGGCGCGGCGAGGCAGUCGUCGUAGCCCACCGGGAGCGGGUGCUCGGGCGCGAGGCGGUACUCGACGGAGAUGCCGAGCGUCGGGCGCGCGGCGGCGAGCGCGUUGAGGAAGCGAUGGUAGUGCGGCGACGUCGCGGACUCCGCCACGAAGCCGCCGCCGUGGACGUACACCACCACGGGCAGCUUCGUCUUGCCGUCGGCGGCCGCGGCCGCGGCCUGGGGUGGCAGGUAGAGGCGGACGGAGCAGGAGCCGAGGUCGACGUCCCUGGAGUCGACGCCCGUGGCGGCGUCCAGGCUGGGCCCGACCGGCGGCGGCACGAGCGGGCGCUCGAUGCGGCCGCUCUUGUAAAUCCGACGGGUCUGUGCGGAGGCGGGCGGCGGGCGGGAGCGGCGGGUGGGAGCGGCGGCAGGUGGUGCGGAGGCCGGCGGCGGCGGGUGGCGCGGAGGAAGGGGAGCUGGUGAGUGGUGACAGGGGAGGGGGGGAGAGAGAGGGGGGGUAGGGUGCAUUGAAUGAGGGCAGGAGGUGUAAAGUGCACCUUUUAGUCCCCAUGAGCAACCAUAAGCAGCCCAAGAGUUGCUUAUUUGCUUAUAAUAAGCAACCUCAUAAGCAAGAGUGAUUGGUUUCAUAAGCAACUUAUUUGCUUAUUUUAAGUUGCUUAUGCAUAAGCAUGUGAAACCAAGCAGGUCCUUAACCUAUGGUUGUGGCACCACACAGUACAUAGUAUUUAAUAAUGCUAUUCGUUUGGUAUGUGCACAAGGGCACGCAUGAAAUGUCUGGCCCACGGUAAACAAGUACGGACGCUGCAAAUAAUCUACUCUGCUCGUCCAGUCCCUAGCCUAUAAAUAGAUGCCAUGCUAGCUCUUGUUGUGCUCACAAUUAAUCCUGACUACACACGAGCUUCUCUCCCUGGCCAAGACACAAUCAUAGUAUGAUGAAGAACAUGGCACUAGCCGGCAAUGGUAUGAAGAACUUAAUCCUCGCUGUUCUCUUACUGUGUCUAGUUAUAGGGCAGAUACAAGUGGAAGCUAAGAGCUGCUGCCCAUCCAUUACUGCAAGAAAUAUCUACAAUGCCUGCCGUAUCACGGGUACAUCCCGUCCAACGUGUGCAAAACUGUCAGGCUGCAAAAUUAUCAGCGGGGACAAAUGCAAGCCCCCUAACGACCACCUCACCCUUGACCCGGACACUGGUAAAUAAUAAAUUUAUCUCACUUGAUUUCUUCGUGUUUUGAGUCGUUAAUGUAUUUUCCAUCUGAUGAAACGUAUUGGUUUUGCAUUGAAGAGGAAGUUAAUGUGCUUAACUUCUGCAAGUUGGGGUGUGCGUCGUCUGUGUGCAACAACAUCAACGCUGGUAAGCACCUUUUGCUCAGACGGAGAAAACAAUAAUCAUUAAUUAGCGGCAGCUAGAAUCCUAUAAUCUAAUAUAUUUAUAUAUAUAUAUAAUUUUAUCAGCUCUGGGAAAUGAAGAGGCGAACGAUGCCGUUGAGAGUUGCGACCAAGCCUGCUCUAGCUUCUGCAACGUGCACGUUGGCGCUGCCACCGUGGUUGCUUAAGCAAAUGCAUCCAACUGGAUCGUCCUUGUGCUAAAUAAUUGGAUAUCGUAUCCACUUAAAGCUGCCUUGUGUAGUACGUUUUUGUUUGUGUCUCUCUUUAUAUUCCAAUAAGGUCGGUGAUCUUGAUGCCACACACUCAGACGUGUGUUCAUCUCCAGAUACUACUCCAUGCUACCUGCCCUUUGUGUUUUGUUCAAUAACUGGGUAUCAUAUCCCAGCCAGUGUGCCAUCUGUUUUGUGUUUAUUUCCUUCUAGUUUCAAAGGGGUUAUCAUGAUGUUACCUUCUUUCGAUAUGGUGCUUUGCAUGACUACUGUUGUAUGGUACCAUCUUGUUGGCCAAUAAAUACAUCUUAUCCUAUGACCCUUUGCUAUGACCCUUUGCAAAUAAGUACAAGAUUGUUAAAUACUCGGUAUAAAUUGACUACUGCUGUGAGUUCCCUUUCAGCUUAUCGUAGGCAUACAUUAUUGCUAGCACGGUGAAGACAACCAACACGAAUGGUCAAGUAAACGUACCGGUACUUUUGUAUACCAACACCCUUGCUUAAAUGUACCGGUGUUACUCCCCACUAGCACAUAUAUUCUUAUAUGCUAGCCGGCUUGAAAAUUAACCGAUUAAAAUAAUUAUUUCAAGACAGAAAUAACUUAUCGGCUUCUCGAAGCAUGUGUAAUGUGAAUUCAAGGACUUGAUGGAAGUUGAAUCGCUUAAUCUAGAUUGCUUUCAGGAUUUUGGGUAACUAAAUUUAACAUUUGCACAUACAAAUGUUAAUGUACAAAUAUUAAAUAUAGUUACCCAAGCAGAAUAUGAAGAUACUCUAUAGUAUAUAUAUACUAUAUAAAUCUAGUUAACAUUUAGUCUAAAUGUUAAAUCUAGUUACCUAAAAUCCUGAAAGCAAAAUGUAUAAAUAUAUAUCUUUUAAGGAAUCCCAAAGCAAGAGUUCAGUGGCAUUCUAUAGUCCCAUGCUGCUAGUUUGAGUUGGUCGAAGCCAACUUAAAUAGGAGAGCUCUCUCACUUCUCUAAAUACGUAACUGAAGGAGAGAAGGGGGCUUGGUUACACAACGCACGCACGCACGCAUAUUUGCGUUCUUUUCGCGUAACCAACCGCGUGACUUGAAACUUGCGACGUAGCGUGCUGCCAAGUCAAGUUGAUAUAACCUUUUUGCCGUAGGCGUGUAAUCUUUUGACAACGGUCAUUGGAGGUGAUAAGCACGCAGUCAAUACCUUAAUCCUGAGUUAAUAGGGCGGUUACUACUGCCAAUUAGUGGGGCAAUUUUGUAGGGGAAACGGUUAGCAGAGGGCUACCAUCUUCUCUAUAAGAAGUUCUGGAGACGUCCAGGAACACACAUGUACAUGUGAGAGACCCACGAAUUCCUUCCCAUCUCCCUUUUCCAUCUGGUGAAGUGUGCUAUGGUACUGAGCUGCUGGAUCUCGCCGGCUCUUCUCCUUGGCGUGCACCGAGGAGGAGGGUGAGCGGUAUCUCCGAGCUAUUGCCGUCAGGAAGCCUGCACGAGGGACAACAAUAAAGUUUUUGGGUAGCGCAACUACGCAACCGCUCGAUUCGAUCGACUAUGUUCUGCGCUGCCUCAUCUUCGAUCUGCACUGCAACACGUAACCCUGCAGCAAGUCUACACAAGGACGGAGCACUAAUCUGUAAGUCCUAGAUUGGUUUCUUACAGAGUUGUAGGUUACACAAGAUCUAGAAUUGUUACAUACUUAUUAUUAUGGGUUACAUGAUGUUUUGUACGGUUACGUCUAUUUUGCAUAUGCUAUUUUUACAUACCGUUUACAUGCAUAUGUAAUGGUUACGCCUAGCUAUUUGAAUCUAGAAUUGGGUUACAUAGCAGUAGCAAUGACUUACGUAAUAUGCCUCAUGUUUAUAUCUGGUAGAAUUUAACACGUAUCUCCAACAUAUUUUGAGGCAGUAUAAAUUUCAAUUCCUUUUGCUGCUCUGUUAAAUCCCGUCUUUCGUGUGGCCCAACACUCUAGUAUGCAUGUAGCACCAAGCUUGUUUGAGCCGCUUUGUGCUCUGAUUUUGCUGUCUGUAUCAGGUUGGACUGUUUCUUUGUCUUGCGAUGUAUAGCUUCAUAUCUUCUAGAGGUUAGACAGCAAAACCCGCGUUCUCUUAAGGCAACAACUCGAAGAAUCUGCAGCGCUCCUGAUAUAUCACUGCUGCAGAAACAAUCUUUAGUACUGAUUUCCAACCCCCUUUAGUAUCGGUUUGGCAAUCAGUACCACUACGUCGGUACUAAAGGGAGUUCUCUAGAAUCGGGUCAAAUAACUGGUACUAAAAGUGCUCCUCUACUACCAGUUGGUAACACCAAUAGGUAGUAACUUUUUUUGCACCCAAAAAAUUAAAGAAAAACAGCCGGGAGGCUCGCGCACACACGCAUCAUGAGUAAUAUGCGCGUGCAUGGUUUGUGGGAUUCCAACCCACGACCAAGCUAUAAGCACGUAGUUACAAAAAAAUUAAACACUUAGACAUUUUAGAGCAUCCCAAAUAACUACAAAUUCUUUAGUUUACCAUAUACCAUAAAAUAUUAGUUAAAAUAAGAGCAUACGCACGUCGGAAGAGUCCCAAUGCACCGGUUGAGGAUCAGACCAGGCACUUUGAAUGCACAUGCCAUAAGAUAAUUCUGCAGGACGAUGAUUGCAAUAAUGGACCAUCGAGAAGAUAGGGGCGAUGGGGUUGCCUCAUCAAUUAUGACUUGGCGCAACAAGACCAGCAAAGUCUUUAUCGACAGGGGUGGAUCAAGGGGUGGGGCGGGUAGAGCUCCAAUCUUCCUACCGCCGCUCGAACAAUGGAGCCCCCCUUAGCCCCUCCAUAAAUUUUUAGGUAGAAGAAAAAAGAAGAGAAGGGAAGGAAGGGGAAGAAUAGGGAGCCCCUCCUAAGUAGGUCGCCAUCGUGCUUCCCAACGCAUGAUCGCCGCACCGCAUCCAUUCCUCUACAAGCCUCCAGCGUCUCUCCUGCCGCUACCUCUGAACCAUGUGCAGCUGCAGACCCAACUAGUGUCUUGUCACCCAUCUCAAUCCCAACAGAGCGGCGGCUCCUGCCAGCACAAAUCUCCCUCCGCCUGUUCUUCACGAUCGAUGGCCACCACAAGCAUAAACCUCGCCUUCGCAUCCACGCAAAAGGGUCGCCGGUGUGCCUUCUCGCAUCGCUUCUCAGCCUCCUUCACUUGCGGCUGGCCAAGAACCGUGCCACCACCUCGGGUGCGCGCCACCGCUCCAGGGCCGCUACCCCAUGCGUGCGGCCGCCGCCGGCCACCACGCGUGUGCAACCGUGUCGCACCGCUUCCCUGCUCUGUGCCACCACUGCUACUGCACCACCAGCUCCACCACCUUGGGCUGGUCGCCAGGGUGACUGAUUGGUGGAUUAUUACUACAAAUAAGUUCCUUAUUAUCUGCAACUACUAUUAACUCAGGGAUACAUGCGUCUUUUGCUUCUCCUGUUAAUAUGUCCUAAAAUAUCUAGAAUGCCUUAUAUUUCUGGACGGAGGAAGUAUUUGAAUAAAAUGAACCAAUUUUAAAAAAUGUGUUGUACACUACUACAGAAAGAACUAUCAGUGUCAAACCCAAAAAUGUCGUCACUGCCAGUUUUGGGCAUCGUUGGUGAAAGGUUGGCGGUGAUGGGUAUCCCCUUCAACAACGGCACUAGAGCUAACAGUGAUUGACAUUAGAAAACGAAAAAGGGGACCCACCUAGCCACCCCUGCAACCCGGCUGGCCGUGCCUCCCGUCAUCCCCACCACCUCGCCUCCCCCGUGACCCCCCGCCGGCGCCCUUGCGCCUAGCCCCCUCGCCUGCCUGGCCGGCCACCCUCGUCACGAGAGAGAGGGGUGCAUGUUGUAUAAUUGCGUGAAUUUUUAAUGUUUAAUUUCAUGUAAGUUUCAUAUAAUAAAUUGUACAAGUUUUAUUGUAUAUAUGAAUUCCAUAUAUAUAUAUUUAUAAUUUAAUGUAUGGUUUCAUGUGUAUAUUUCAAUAAUGUGUAUAUUUAGUAGAUAGCCGAUUUUCUUUUUCUACAAGACAAGGGUUGAUGUAUAAUUACGUGUAUAUGUUUAUUGUACGGGCAAUUAGGACAAGUUUUGUAUAAAUUUCUUUUAUUUCAUGGUUGUUGUAUGGUUUCAUGUAUAUACAUUUAUUGUACUACUUGAGACAAUUUUUAAUUUAAUGUUUCUAUGGUUACAUGUGUGUAUAACUAAUUGUAUUAUUAGUUAAGAUGGGAGCCAAAGAGGAUGAAAGGUAUAUAAUGGAGCAGAUUAUUGCUGGCGGUAGUGGCUCAAACGUUGCAAGAACCUACAUCAAGGGUGAGGGUAGCUAGGUGGACAUGUACCUCAACAUGUCCAGUGAUGGCAAUGACGAUGAGGAGCACGAGCAUGACGUUUAUGAUAGUGCGGAACAAGACAUUGCAGAAUUGGAAGGUUCUAAUGAGGUGUGCUUCAUGUUGAUGAUCUGGUUGGCUUUUUUUCUUUGGUCACACCUUAGUUACCAUAGAACUUCGUCUCGGGAGAAGAUUGGAGGUGCUAUGGUGAUUGGAAUUUUAUUGCCUCCAAAUAUGAUUUCCAUCGAAUCAUAUCCCUUGUAUUUAUCUUCUUUUUAUUUGUGAGAGCAUCUUCUUUAUGCUUGCAAAACAAUUCAAGUGCACAUACUACACCUAGGGUGAUGAUUAGGAGUAGAAACAAUUGCCAACAAACGAACACCACAUCCUAAGAUUCUUAACUUGUGGUAUAAUUAGUCUAGUAAAAAGAAAGAUAAAAACCUAAUGGGUGUACGUGAGUGCAAUGCGUAUAUGCAUAUGAGUGGAAGGCAUAUAAGCAAAGAUAAUAUUUACACAUAGAUCUAAGCACCAUGUUUACAACUAAGUUGCUGAAUUUCUCCAUAGCUAUAGAGAUUAAUGAACCAAGGUCAAAACACCAUGUCUAUCCCAAGAUCAGUAAUUCUUUAUAGCACAAGAAAAAGAAAGCGCAUUGCAAAGUUUAUAAACCAACCAAUGCAGCAUGAAAACAAGAUGAAUAGCUAGCAAGGUUUAUUAAACUGAAUGAUGACGGUCUGCAAGCAAGUUUGAACACCAUCUUUACACAAGAUUGCAAAUGGAAAAUUCCCAUAUGAAGAACUAACAUGGAUAUGAAAUCAUUCAUCAUAAAGCGUAAAGAACAACCAAGCCAACCAUAUGCAAAGCAUGAAUGGAAUGCAAUGAAGGUGCAAGAGAACAUUUUUGGAUGAACCCAUUAUGAUGAUGGCAAAAUGCGCCGUGCCCCCCAGCCCCCGCGGUGAGAUCCCGCCGCUCGCUGCCGCCAGACCCUAUUAGGCCUCCACCGGCAGGUCCACCCACGGUCCCGCGCGACGUGGCAGCCUCUUGGCUCUCGGCGCUCGCGGCACGCCAGUGCUGGCGCAGCCCCACCAGGCGACUACCCUCCCCCCAUAAGGCCUCGGCCCCUCCCCAGCGCCGCCCCCCAACACCAGGACUGCCUGCUGCCCCCCACCGUGAGGUAAUCGAAAUCGACUGCUCAAUCUCUCAAUCUGUUGAUAUGAUGCACACGGUUGCAAAAAUAGAUGUGUCAAAAUAGAUGUUUUGCCAAUUGCUAUAGAUGCAUACGGUUGACAUGAAGUCAAAAAUGACAUUUGGUUCCUUGUAGGCAGUCAAAAAUGAAGAAGUCAAAAAAUAUUGAUCUGAAAUCAAUGUGGGAAAGGGCUAUGAAGACACGCAGGUAGAUUCCCUUGUGAACUUUUUAUGUCGUUCGUCUAAAUAAUUUUUUGCAAUGGGCAUACCCUACUCUGAAAUCCUGGGUCCGCCACUGAUGAUGAUGGUCUAAAAAUAAACCAAGCCUAGAUUAAUUAGCCACAACUGAAAUUAAGCAAAGGUUAAUGUCAUUGACCCUAGCUCUAUCCUAGCUUUUACCAAAGUUCCGGCACAUAUAGUGGUUGGGCCCACUCUCUCUGCUUCCCUCUCUGCUGCAUGCACGCACACGAGCAACGGGAGGCCCGACGAAGCCCAGAAGGGUUCGGCCGAACCAGUAUGAGCGCCGCUCCCUCCCAGCCUUCGCGCAGAUGCUCCUCCAACGUUCCUUGACCCCUCCCUCAGCGUCCCGUUGGGUUUAACAUUGCAGGAGAGGAGUCCCUUUUUUAAAAUCUCAACCACCUCCUCUCCCCAUUCACUCCACUCUCAUCUCCAUCAAACUCACCAAGAUCCGCACCGGAAAUCCCUGCUUACCACCAUGGCUGGCAAAGCCCUCAUCCCUUUCACCAACUUGGGCUUGACCACUGAUCUCGAUGGGGAAAUCACUCUGGCAAAUAUGCGUGUAACACUGCCCCCUUUGCCGAGGGUUAAAGCCAAAACACUCAGCAAAGUGGAUAGUACCCCCCUUUUUACCCGUUUUGUCAUGUAUAACGGACCCCUCUCAAUUCACAAUAGACAUCAUCAUAGGCAUUUAUAAUAAACAAUCACAGGCAUAAUUCACAAUCACCAUUACAAGCAUUAUUCAUAAAUAUCACAGACAUAAUCCAAAGUAAGCAUGAAACAAGCCAUAAAUCCAAGUUCAAGUCACAACUAAGUUUCAUCCAAGUUCAAGUCACAAAUGCAAUGUCUAAAUCCAUGGAGGCCAAGGAGACCACUGCGACAAAUCUUGGUCUUCAUUAUUCGAAGCCGCCGAUUGAUUCUGCACAUAGGAUAGGACAUUCUGAGCUAACAUCUAAAGUUGUCAAAAUUAAAGUAUUCAAUCUUAAGCACAAUGUGUCAAAUGACUCACAGGAGUAGUUGUGGGUGGCUGAGGCGGAGGGAACAGCAUCGAUGGCGGUGGCAAAGAUUGACCCAUGCUCGAAGCAAAAUUCUGCAUGUACUGGAACAUCUGGUCCAUCCUCAUCCGAUUUUCUUCCUCCAUCCUCUGCCGCUCGGCCUCUAACCUCCGCUGAACCAUCUGCUCCAUCCUCGCCGCCAUCUCCUCUUGUUGCUUCCUUGCUGCUUCCACCUGGGCCUACAAUAUUUCAUUGCAAUGUUACAAUGCAAAGCUAAAGUAUAGCAACCAACGAACAAUGAAUGGAAGAGAAAGAACCUGGAGAGCCUCCAUCUGGAACUGUCCAAUGGUUGGUCGUAGCCGUAUCGCCGGGCUCGAGUCCGUGCUCCUUGCUUGGAUCUGGGAGAGAGUGGCAGUAGAGGCCGUGUUGAUUACGCCGUCGCCAAUCCAAUAUCGGCCAUGCUUCUUGCCUCCUCCCACCCUCAUCACGAUUUCUCCAUCAAUAUCCUCAGAGCUUGAAUCGAAGUCUGGCCCGUGAACCUCCCUUGCCAUCACUGUAUAUUCCUUUGCCGAGUGCCCGAGAUAAAGCACUCGGCAAAUAGAAAACACUCGGCAACUUUACUGUUUCCCGUAGUGUCGCUAUUUUUGCAGGUUCUCGACCAGGCCAGUUCUUUGGGCCAACCUAUCAUUCACGACUUAAACAUACGGUGGCUGUAGAAAUGUUCUAUUCUUUUCAACAAUACCAGCUGGUUCCUCCGUUUUUAUUCCACCAAUACAAGCACCACCUUGUAACAUUUCCUAUGUUUUUUUUUCCUUUCGUCUGUUUUCUACAUGCGUUGCUCUUUCAUGCAUUUUUUUCCAUUCCUGUAUUCCAAAUAGGUCUACAUGAACACAAAAUGAACUAGGGGACAGAAAAAGCCAGUGAAGCCAAUUUUGAGCUUCACCAGCUACUUGCUACAUAAAGUGUGCUAUAGUGACGUGUUUUAGCAAAACAUGUUAUCAAUGACUUGACAUUGGUGACGUGUUAAAACGCGUUAUCUCAAUGGCAAAUCAUUGGUGACGUGUUUUAAAAAAACAUGUCACCGUGAGAGUCAUUGGUGAAGGGUAAUUAUAAUGCGUCACUAAUGUUGUAGCAUUAGUUAUGAUAAUUUAGUAACGCAAAAAUCUACCAUCAGUAUUGAGCUUUAGAGCCAUCGCUAAUGUGGGUUUCUUACAUAGUGAUGCAAGCUCUACAAGGUGCUGUUGCUGCCAUUUUAAAGCAUCCCAUGACUACAUGUUAAUAACAUAGUUUACCAUAUAUCAUAAAAAUAUUAGUUACAAUAAGCACAUACGCAUGUGGAAGAGUCCGAAUGCACCGGUUGAGGACUAAACACAUUGAAUUACUAGAACCAAAUGUGUGUUUAGAACAAAGACAGGGGUCAAGGUUUGGGUAACCGCAUUAAAAACAUUGGAUUUUACUGUACAUGAACACUUAGUUACCAUUACCAUGCCUUGAGCACCUAGUUACAACAAACAUUAAUUUAGCCACUUUAGAGCUUCCAGAAUCGCUAUAAAUAAUAUACCUACGCCGUACCAUGAAAACAUCAAGAAGAGAGACGGAUACAUGGACCACCAUCAAGCGAGUAGUGACAGCACGCACAAGAAUACCCGGAACCUGUUAGCUUGUCUGUAGUGAUCUGUUUUCUUCCCCAUAAAAUCCAUGAGUAUUGCCACAAAUAAUGAAAGAGGCUGACCAAGCUAGCAAGGAGGUAGAGCAAACGUGAUACACGGCCUGCCAAGAUUGCCCUGGAUACGCCAAUAAGAGCGACAGAUACAUGGAUCACACCAAUAUGGUGAAACGUAUAUUCAUCACACAAGCAAAGCUGGUCAGUUUAUCCAUGGUCAAAUUGUGGUCUUUGUUUUCACUUGAGAGCUAAUUGAGGCACUAUAAUAUGGGCAGGCCUAUCUUCAACAGACAUGACAGCUACAGGGAACUUGACAUAAUUUGCUGGGCCGCCUGUGCACAAUUAUUUGUUUUAUUGUCCUUGCAUAGAAUGCUAAAAUACUCUUUACAAAAUGUUGGAUCUAAUAUUUGAAAUAUAGAGUAGUAAUCAUAUAUUGAUCAACAACUUGAAAUUAUCUGUACAUUCUCGGUGAAGCUGUUGAACUAAUUUUUGCAAAUUAUUAAUUCAUCUCAUUACGUAAAGAAAAAAGUAAGUGGAUAAGAUAUUUCGUGGACCACAUCACUGCAAACAUGUCAUGGAGAGACAGACCAAGGAGGCAGGACGUGAUACACGACUUACCCUAGGUUGCCGUGGAACCGCCAAGAAGAGAUACAGAUACAUGGACCACACCAUCUUGGGAGUAGUGACAGCAUAUAUGCAGAAGAAUACCCCGUGCCUAUUUGCAUGCAUGUCUCAAGUGAUCUGUUUUCUUCAGAAAAUACAUGAGCAUUGCCAGAAAGAAUGGCAAGAGACAAACAUGUCAUAGAGACUUGCAUGUCUUGCCUUGGAUACGCCAAGAAGAGGGACACAUACAUGGAUAACACAAAUCUAGUGACACGUAUAUUCAUCACAAAGGCAAAUCUGAUAAUUUUAUCCAUGGAGCAGACCAAGGAGAAAUUGAUGACGGACAUGUGAUCUCUGUAUUCAGUUGAAAGCUAAUUGAGCUACACUAAUAUGAGCAGGACUAUAUUCAAGAGACUUGUUGAGAGCUACAGGGAACUUGUAAUAAUUUGCUGGGCGGCCUGCGCACAAUGAUUUGUUAUACAUAGUUGAAAUAUUUCAAGAAUUUAUCAACCUCAUACUCUGAAACCCUUGGUGCAAUGUACUCUGCUUUCCGAGGUAGACUGUUCACGUAAAAUGAGGUCAUGCGUAAGACGGAAUCGGAUUGGAUUCACAGGGAAUCAGAUUUGGAUAGCACCUUUUAGCAGGUUUUUAGUCAAAUGCAAAUUCGGAUCCACAUGUGGUUGAAUGCGAGUUCAAAAUUCUACUUGGAUAUCCAUUUAAUUUAGGUGAUAGCAAUUAGCACAAAAUGUUGGAUGAACAAAAUCAUAGUUAGACAUACAAUUACAUGUAUGGUUAAAGUAUAAUACAAUACACCAAGAUUAUUCCUUGAAAAUAUUUCUUAAAAAUAUUAUAAUAAAUGAAUAAAUAUAAUUGUGGCCACCAACAAAUAGUCGGUGGUCGCUAAGUUGGAGCCAUUUCUGGUUACUAAUGCGGCCUUCUCCUCGACCAGCGACGACAGCUGAGCUUGUUCCUUCUGACACUAAAUCAUCAGAGUCUUCCCUCCACUACUAUAGAAUGCACCUUUAGCACCAAUUGGGAAAUCCCCUUCAGUAUUGGAUGCUGCAACCAGUGCUAUAUAUCAAAAUGGAGACUAAAAGCCUCGGUCUUGGGUACCGGUUGCAUAACGCAUUACUAAAGGAGGCAAAAGAGAAAUGUAACAAAAAAAAUAUUUUGAAUUCCAAGAAUGUUUCACUAUUCAAGAUGACUAGCUGAGAGUCAACAGACAAGAUACUAGGAAUGUGGGUGCUUGAAUGCAUUUGUACAGAGGUCAUACUAUUUACAAACUCUUCUAUGUUUCCAUAUGACUACCUACUUCAAUGUCACGCGAGCCAUUCAGCUGGACACAUGGCACACUAGCUUGCAUGUCGAAUCCAUGAUUAAUUAUUUCCACUUGUGAUCUCUUACCAGUAUUUGUCCAGACUAGAAACGUGCAACACAUUUUUAGGAUAUGGACACGCAUAUAUUUGGACUAGUAUACAGGUCACCUUUGGAUGCGUACAAGGAUGACCGGGAGGGACUAGAAAUGGUCUAGUUUUGAUUGGACUACAAAACUUUUUGUACAGUGAAUAGAGAAUAUAUAUUAUUGUUGGAAUACGAGGUAGGCUACACUAUCGCAAUUCUGAUAUUCUACCGCGUAUAACCAAGAAGAACUGUCGUAUAAGGAUCACGGGAUUACCACUCGACGCACUACUGGUGCGGAAGAUGUAGAUAUGCGUCGAUGCAGUGAAGACGAUCACGUAGUCGUAUGUAGUCGAUCAACGUAGUCGUACAUAGUCGAUCACGUCCAGCAGCUCCUCAGCAGCUCGUCCACGUGCAGCAAGAUCGCCUCCGGUACCGCGGCUCGUCGUUGGCUUGUCGUGGCUCGUCGACGGCUCGUCGGCGGCUCGUCCAAGUGCUGCAGGCGCAACACCUCCAAGGUAUCCACACGUGCAGGGAGGAAGCGUCGCAAGCCGGACUGCUAGAUCCACGAGUUGCAACAGGCGAGGGCGUGGGAGGCGCGGCAGGUGUGUUUCGCCAAAAAGGUGUAAACCCUAGGGCGCCCCCACCCCUCUAUUUAUAGAGGUUCCUGACGGGCCUCUGGAUCCGAGGCCCAUUAGUACUUCUAAACCUAAUCCAACUCGGAUCAGAUCCGAAUUGGGCUUCCAGCCCCUUAAGUGUGUGACCCUAUAAGUUCGGAUACGUAUAGACAUGGCCCGAGUACUCCUACUCGGCCCAAUAGUCGGUAGCGGCCUCUAGCAAGACGUGCCAACUCCUAUACGCACACGAAGAUCAUAUCAGACGAACCAUCACAACAUAAUAUACAUGCUAUUCCCUUUGCCUCACGAUAUUUGGUCUAGCUUCAAGCCGACCGCUCUUUCUCAGUCCUGUGAUUCGGAAUCCCUUUGUAGGUUAACUCUUAACCGUACGUAGCAUGGCCAUGCAUUUUCGGAUCUGAUCACUCGAGGGGCCCAGAGAUAUCACUCUCAAUCAGAGAGGGGCAAAUCCCAUCUUGAUUGACCAUGUCUCAUAGCAUGCUUCUUGACAAACCUAAAAACUACCUUUAUAACUUCCCUGUUACGGCGUAGUGUUUGAUAGCUCCUAAGUAGGUCGAUCCACAUCUAGAAUACAUGCGACAAUUUCAGGUCUAAGGACAAAGCGUAUAUGUUGUUUAAAGAGAGAACUACUUCUCGUGUUGGGUCAGUCCCAGCACAUGUCUCCACAUGUGUCCACAUUAUUAGUUCAACAUCUCCAUGUCCAUGACUUGUGAAACAUAGUCAUCAACUAAUACAUGUGCUAGUCUAAUAUUCAUGUGUGUCCUCACAUGAACUCCGACUAGGGACAACUUUAGAAUAACCAUACAAGUAAAGAGUUUCACAUACAAUUCACAUAAUUGCAAAUCAAUUCAAGUAGCCUUCAAUGGAUAUUCAAUGAACACAACAUACAAAUCAUGGAUACAAAUGGAAUAUCAUCAUCUCUAUGAUUGCCUCUAGGGCAUACCUCCAACAGUCUCCCACUUGCACUAGAGUCAAUCUAGAAGGUACCUAAUACCCAUAGCUCUUACAUGCGCAUCAUGCUUAGCCUGCGGGAGUGGUUUUGUCAACGGAUCAGAAAUGUUCAGAUCCGUGUGUAUUUUGCAUAUCUUGAUCUCACCCCGGUUAACGAAGUCUCGAAUGAGAUGAAAUCGCCGCAUUACAUGUUUGUUCUUCUGGUGGUUCCUUGGCUCCUUUGCUUGCGCAAUUGCCCCAUUGUUAUCACAGUAGAGAUUCAAUGGGCUGGACCCAUUCGGGAACACACCAAGCUCAAUGAGGAAAUUCCUUAUCCAAACACCUUCCUUCGCGGCUUCCGAAGCCGCGAUGUACUCGGCUUCUGUCGUAGAAUCGGCCACCGUCUCCUGCUUGGAACUCUUCCAACUAACAGCACCACCAUUUAGCGUGAACACAAAUCCUGUUUGUGACUUUGAAUCAUCUCUGUCGGUUUGGAAACUAGCAUCGGUGUAACCUGUUACAACGAGCUCCUCCUCACCUCCAUAGACGAGGAAUAUAUCUUUAGUCCUUCUCAAGUACUUAAGAAUGUUUUUCACCGCUGUUCAGUGACUCUCACCUGGAUCAGAUUGGUGUCUGCUUGUCAUACUUAGCACAUAUGAAACAUCUGGGCGAGUACUUAUCAUUGCAUACAUGAUAGAUCCAAUAGCCGAGGCAUAUGACACUCUACUCAUGUGAUCCCGCUCAUCAGCAGUCGAAGGACACUGAGUCUUGCUGAGAUGUAUGCCAUGUGACAUAGGCAAGAACCCUUCCAUGCUGAACCGCUUCAACACUUUGUCAAUGUAAGUAUCUUGGCUUAAACCUAUAAGCCUUCUCGAUCUAUCUCUAUAGAUCUUAAUGCCCAGAAUAUAUGCCGCUUCCCCUAAGUCCUUCAUCGAAAAACUAUUUUUCAGUGAAGUCUUUAUGGACUCAAGCAUAGGAAUGUUAUUUCCAAUCAGUAAUAUGUCAUCCACAUAUAAGAUUAGAAAUACUACAGAGCUCCCACUAACCUUCUUGUAAACACAAGACUCUUCUUCGUUCUUGGUGAAGUCAAACCCUUUGACCACUUCAUCAAAACGAAUGUUCCAACUCCUAGAUGCUUGCUUCAAUCAAUAAAUGGAUCUCUGAAGCUUGCAUACCUUUCCAGCAUUUUUCGGAUCGACAAAACCCUUGGACUGUAUCAUAUACACGUCCUCAGUUAGGUUUCCAUUCAGGAAAGCUGUCUUGACAUCCAUCUGCCAUAUCUCAUAAUCGAAAUAUGCAGCCAAACUUGAUUGUCUCCCAUGGACUCUAUUUCGGAUUGCAUGGCAUUCUGCCAUUUUUCGGAGUCUGGGUCCAUCAUUGCUUCUGCAUAUGUCACAGGCUCAUCAUUGUCCAACAAUAAUAUUUCCUGCAUUUCGCGGAGCCUUGCCGACCUUCGUGGUUGUGGCGGUGCUUCUCUUGCCAUGGGUAUCUCAACUUGUUCUGCUACGUUAGCAUCACUCAUUGAUUCUUGCCCGAUCGGCUCAUCUUGAACUUCUUCAAGAUGCACUGUCUUUCCACUCUUUUCUCCUUUGAGAAACUCUUUCUCUAGGAAAACCCCGUUCCGAGCGACAAACACUUUGCCUUCUGAUCAGUUGUAAAAAUAAUAUCCCAAAGUUUCCUUUGGAUAUCCCACGAAAAUGCACUUAUCCGACUUGGGUGCGAUCUUGUCCGACUGAAGUCGCUUGACAAACACAUCACAUCCCCAAAUCUUUAGAAAAGACAAACUAGGAACCUUUCCAGUCCAUAUCUCAUAUGGUGUCUUAACUACGGAUUUAGAUGGUACCCUAUUAAGUGUGAAAGCUGCUGUUUCUAGAGCGUAUCCCCAAAAUGACAACGGUAGGUCCGACUGGCUCAUCAUUGAUCGAACCAUGUCUAACAAAGAUCGAUUACGUCGCUCGGACACACCGUUUCUCUGAGGUGAUCCAGGCGGCGUAAGUUGUGGAACAAUUCCGCAACUCUUUAGAUGAUUGCUAAACUUGUGGCUCAAAUACUCGCCUCCACGAUCAGAUUGUAAGGCCUUAAUUUUCUUGACACGCUAAUUUUCAACUUCAUUCUGAAAAUCCUUGAACUUUUCAAAGGUUUCAGACUUGUGCCUCAUCAAGUAGACAUAGCCAUAUCUACUAAAAUCAUCAGUGAAAGAUAUGAAGUAUUGGAAUCCUCCUCUAGCCGUCGUGCUCAUUGGUCCGCAUACAUCACUAUGUACGAGUUCCAACAAGUCUACUGCUCUCUCAGGAAAUCCUGUGAAAGACGUCUUGGUCAUCUUGCCUAGCAAGCAAGCCUCACAUGUCUCGUAUGAUUCAAAAUCAAACGAAGUUAGAAGUCCAUCAGAAUGGAGCUUCUUCAUGCGUUUUUCACUUAUAUGACCCAAACGACAAUGCCACAAGUAGGUAGGACUCAAAUCAUUAGGCCGAGGCCUUUUAGCACUUACAUUACAGACAGGUGAACCAUCAAGAUUUAAAACAAAUAAUCCAUUCACAAUGGGUGCAAAAGCCAUAAACAUAUUAUUCUUAGAGAUCACACAACCAUUGUUUUCACUCGCAAAUGAAUAACCAUCCUUCAUCAAGCAUGAAGGAGACAAAAUGUUUCGACUUAAACUAGGAACAAAAUAACAAUUAUUCAACUCCAUAAUAAAUGCUGACGGGAGGUGGAGUUGCAUCGUCCCGACGGUCAACGCAGCAACUCUUGCAUUAUUGCCCACGCGGAAAUCAACUUCUCCUCUUUCCACGCUUCUACUUCUUAUCAUUCCCUGCAUCGAAUUGCAAAUAUGAGCAACCGAUCCGGUAUCAAAUACCCAAGAAUUAAUAAUUGUAUCAGCGAGAAAUAUGUUGUCUAUGACAUUAACAACAAGCGUACCUGAGGUAGAAGUACUCUUACUUCCUCCAUUCUUCAACGAAGCUAGGUACUGCUUGCAGUUUCUCUUCCAGUGACCAAGUUCAUGACAGUAAAAGCACUCUUUGUCUGGAGCAGGUCCAGGUCCAGCUUUAACCUUGGGCGCUCGCUGGGUUUGGCUUGGAAAUUCCAGCCUUGCCCUUCUUCUUCCAAGAAUUGCCCUUCUUCUUAAAGCUAGGCUUGUUCUGUAUAGCCAUCACAUGGCUAGUACAAGCGCUUUUCUUGAUGUCUACCUCUGCUGUCUUGAGCAUACCACACAGUUCAUUCAAACCCUUCUCCGUCCCAUGCAUAUGGUAGUUCGAGAUGAAGUUCCCAUAGCUAGGCGGAAGAGAUGAAAGAAUGAAGUCAGUGGCCAACUCUUUGCCCAUUGGGAAGCCCAGCUUCUCCAAUCGCUGAGUGUAACCAACCAUGUUGAUUACAUGUGGUCCUACUGCUGCGUCUUCUGCUAGCUUGCACUCCAGAAAAGCUUUGGACACAUUGAACCUUUCAGUCCUAGCCUGUGUCUGGAACAUGUCCUUGAGCGCCACGAUCAUAUCGUGUGCCUCAUGAUUUGUUUCGAACUGCAUCUGCAGCUCGGGUUCCAUGCAAGCAAGCAUAAGGCAGCUUACCUCAAGAUUAGCAUCAAAUGCCUUCUUGUAAGCAGCCUUAACGGCAGCAGAUGCAUCAUCAGCAGGUACUGGUGGUAGUGGGGUAUCUAGAACAUCUUCCUUUUUAUCGGCCCUGAGAACAAUUCUCAGGUUACGGAUCCAAUCCGAGUAGUUUGUUCCAUUCAACUUGUCCUUCUCAAGGACCGAGCGCAAAGCAAACGAUGUGGUGGUGUUGCUAGGUGCCAUUUAAUCUACAACAAAAGUAAUGCAAAAUACACUAAGACAAACGUAUCCAUGAUAGAGCAAAUUACAUUAAACUAUUUUAACAGAAUCUACUCCCACUAAAAUCAAUAUCCCUCUAUUGAAACUUAGUGAUUCAGGAUCCACAACUAACAAGUCUACUAGUGAGCUUUAGCAUCACCGCUAGCAAACGAGGUAGAUCGGUAAGCAACUUUUGCUAAUCAUAUCACAUAUGACUCCUGUUGUUGGGUGACAUCUCCAUGUCUCGGCGCCCAACCAUUAUGCCCCAAGGUCCUUAACCGUUAAGAUGACCUCGUUAAGCAAACCAACCCUUAUGCGUGUAAGUGUCCGACACAAACCCGUCUAGUCAAGGAAAACUAGUGGCACCCUAAUUUCAUAGACCCACCACUAAUUGUACAAGACAUGGGACGGUGCAAGUUUUAGUUGGGAGGGCAUACUAACUUAAAUUUUUUGUGAGGGAUCGUUCUACUUCUAACAUCACAGCAUGCAGAAAGUAAAACAUAAACAGAAUAGCAUUCACACAGCUGUGACACAGUAUGGCCCGUUUUUAUAUGGUGAUCUCCAUCUCCAUAGAACCUGUUCACCAUGGUGAUCUCCAUCUCCAUGUUCCAUGUGCGCCAUCCUCCUGGUGAGGAGUCCUCCAAGAACUAGAACAUGCUAUUACACCUAAUAGCUAGUAAAGAAUCUAGUAAUGAAGAUUACAUAGUUGCUUGGAUCAUCACAGAUUGGUACGCAGACCAUUAAAUACAAUAAAGUGACAACACAUAUGGCUCCUGCCGUGUUGCCGUACGCGCGACACGCAGGUCACGAAUGAGUUACACACAUGCAUCACAUACACAAGGGGGCCAUACUGAUCACAAGAUACAUACAUACAUCCUGCAAAACAGAGUUAGGCGUCCUAACGUUCCAAACUUCGAAGGCCCGAAACUCCAUCUUCCAAGCCGAAUUUGGGAAAUCUAAUUUUGCCGAAAACGGCAAAGCGGUUGAAUUUCAUGUGUAACUUUUUCUGUAGAUCAAUUUUCAUAUAAAAUUCGCCCCGAUCCGAGAUCGUACCGAAAAGUUACGGCUGAUUUACCGAAGCAUACGCAUACGGCAAAAAUUCCGACCCCGGCAGUAGAUCCCAUCUACUAUUGCACAUCUAAUGCGCCUGGCGUAUGAUCCUGGAUUUCGAUUCGACCAAUCAUAUUGAUCUUCGCUCACUGCAACUGGAAUUACGUGUAUCACUUAACUCGUCGGCGGCUCGUCGGCGGCUCAUCCAAGUGCUGCAGGCCCAACACCUCCAAGGUAUCCACACGUGCAGGGAGGAAGCGUCGCAAACCGGACUGCUAGAUCCGCGAGUUGCAAUAGGCGAGGGCGUGGGAGGCGCCGCAGGUGUGUUUCGCCAAAAAGAUGUAAACCCUAGGGCGCCCCCACCCCUCUAUUUAUAGAGGUUCCUGACGGGCCUCUGGAUCCGAGGCCCAUUAGUACUUCUAAACCUAAUCCAACUCGGAUCAGAUCCGAAUUGGGCUUCCAGCCCCUUAAGUGUGUGACCCUAUGGGUUCGGAUACGUAUAGACAUGGCCCGAGUACUCCUACUCGGCCCAAUAGUCGGUAGCGGCCUCUAGCAAGACGUGCCAACUCCUAUACACACACGAAGAUCAUAUCAGAUGAACCAUCACAACAUAAUAUACAUGCUAUUCCCUUUGCCUCACGAUAUUUGGUCUAGCUUCAAGCCGACCGCUCUUUCUCAAUCCUGUGAUUCGGAAUCCCUUUGUAGGUUAACUCUUAACCGUACGUAGCAUGGCCAUGCAUUUUCGGAUCCGAUCACUCGAGGGGCCCAGAGAUAUCACUCUCAAUCAGAGAGGGGCAAAUCCCAUCUUGAUUGACCAUGUCUCAUAGCAUGCUUCUUGACAAACCCGAAAACUACCUUUAUAACUACCCUGUUACGGCGUAGCAUUUGAUAGCCCCUAAGUAGGUCGAUCCACAUCUAGAAUACAUGCGACAAUCUCAGGUCUAAGGACAAAGCGUAUAUGUUGUUUAAAGAGAGAACUACUUCUCGUGUUGGGUCAGUCCCAGCACAUGUCUCCACAUGUGUCCACAUUAUUAGUUCAACAUCUCCAUGUCCAUGACUUGUGAAACAUAGUCAUCAACUAAUACAUGUGCUAGUCUAAUAUUCAUGUGUGUCCUCACAUGAACUCCGACUAGGGACAACUUUAGAAUAACCAUACAAGUAAAGAGUUUCACAUACAAUUCACAUAAUUGCAAAUCAAUUCAAGUAGCCUUCAAUGGAUAUUCAAUGAACACAACAUACAAAUCAUGGAUACAAAUGGAAUAUCAUCAUCUCUAUGAUUGCCUCUAGGGCAUACCUCCAACAAUUAUUUCAUGUAAAUUUUUGACAAUUUUUUAAAAUUGUUUGAUAUUUUUUAAAUUUUUUUUAAAAUAACUUUGCCGAGUGUCCUAUUGUAGACACUCGGCAAAGCAGCCUUCACCGAGUGUUACCCCUGGGACACUCGGCGAAUUAAUGCCCGGCCGCUCAAGAAUAUGUGCCCGGCCCCCUCACUCUCCCGGCCCCCCUCACUCUCACUCCCCUCACUCCCUCCUCUCUCCCUCCUCUCUCCCUCUCGCCGCCGCCCGAAACCCCCGCCGCCGCCCGCCGCCCGGCAUGCCGCCCAGCGCCCCCCGCCGCCGCCCGGCGCUCCCGAAUCCGCCGCCGCCCGCCCGGCGCCCGGCCCCCGGAUCCGCCGCCGCCGGCCGCCCGGCGCCCCCGGAUUCGCCGCCGCCCGCCCGGCCCCCGGCCCCCGGAUCAGCCGCCGCCCGCCGCCCGGCGCACGGCGCCCCCGGAUCCGCCGCCGCCUGCCCGGCGCCCGGCCCCUGGCCCCCUGAUCCGCCGCCGCCCGCCCGGAUCCGCCGCCGCCCGCCCGGCGCCCGGCCCCCGGCCCCCGGAUCCACCGCCGCCCCCCCGGCCCCCGGAUCCGCCGCCCGCCCGUCCCCUCCACCGGAUCCGCCGGCGCCGGGGCCUGAAGAGAAGAGAAGAGGAGAGGAUGGUGGCGGCGGCGGCCGCGGCGGCGGAGCAGGUGGCAGAGCAUGCAUGAUUUUUUUUUAUUUUUUCAAUAAUUGUUCGCCAAGUGUUUUCUGGGCACUCGGCAAAGUCUUUGCCGAGUGCCCGACACAAAACACUCGGCGAACCAGUGUUUGCCGUCAAGAUUUUUGCCGUGUGUCGUUUGCCGAGUGUUACACUCGGCAAACGCUUUGUCGAGUGUUUUUGGGGUUUCGCGGAGUGACCCUGGCACUCGGCAUCACGCAUGUUUCCCUUAGUGAACUUGAAAUUAUCUGUACAUUCUCGGUGAAGCUGUUGAACUAAUUUUUGCAAAUUAUUAAUUCAUCUCAUUACGCAAAGAAAAAAGUAAGUGGAUAAGAUAUUUCGUGGACCACAUCACUGCAAACAUGUCAUGGAGAGACAGACCAAGGAGGCAGGACGUGAUACACGACUUACCCUAGGUUGCCGUGGAACCGCCAAGAAGAGAUACAGAUACAUGGACCACACCAUCUUGGGAGUAGUGACAGCAUAUAUGCAGAAGAAUACCCCGUGCCUAUUUGCAUGCAUGUCUCAAGUGAUCUGUUUUCUUCAGAAAAUACAUGAGCAUUGCCAGAAAGAAUGGCAAGAGACAAACAUGUCAUAGAGACUUGCAUGUCUUGCCUUGGAUACGCCAAGAAGAGGGACACAUACAUGGAUAACACAAAUCUAGUGACACGUAUAUUCAUCACAAAGGCAAAUCUGAUAAUUUUAUCCAUGGAGCAGACCAAGGAGAAAUUGAUGACGGACAUGUGAUCUCUGUAUUCAGUUGAAAGCUAAUUGAGCUACACUAAUAUGAGCAGGACUAUAUUCAAGAGACUUGUUGAGAGCUACAGGGAACUUGUAAUAAUUUGCUGGGCGGCCUGCGCACAAUGAUUUGUUAUACAUAGUUGAAAUAUUUCAAGAAUUUAUCAACCUCAUACUCUGAAACCCUUGGUGCAAUGUACUCUGCUUUCCGAGGUAGACUGUUCACGUAAAAUGAGGUCAUGCGUAAGACGGAAUCGGAUUGGAUUCACAGGGAAUCAGAUUUGGAUAGCACCUUUUAGCAGGUUUUUAGUCAAAUGCAAAUUCGGAUCCACAUGUGGUUGAAUGCGAGUUCAAAAUUCUACUUGGAUAUCCAUUUAAUUUAGGUGAUAGCAAUUAGCACAAAAUGUUGGAUGAACAAAAUCAUAGUUAGACAUACAAUUACAUGUAUGGUUAAAGUAUAAUACAAUACACCAAGAUUAUUCCUUGAAAAUAUUUCUUAAAAAUAUUAUAAUAAAUGAAUAAAUAUAAUUGUGGCCACCAACAAAUAGUCGGUGGUCGCUAAGUUGGAGCCAUUUCUGGUUACUAAUGCGGCCUUCUCCUCGACCAGCGACGACAGCUGAGCUUGUUCCUUCUGACACUAAAUCAUCAGAGUCUUCCCUCCACUACUAUAGAAUGCACCUUUAGCACCAAUUGGGAAAUCCCCUUCAGUAUUGGAUGCUGCAACCAGUGCUAUAUAUCAAAAUGGAGACUAAAAGCCUCGGUCUUGGGUACCGGUUGCAUAACGCAUUACUAAAGGAGGCAAAAGAGAAAUGUAACAAAAAAAAUAUUUUGAAUUCCAAGAAUGUUUCACUAUUCAAGAUGACUAGCUGAGAGUCAACAGACAAGAUACUAGGAAUGUGGGUGCUUGAAUGCAUUUGUACAGAGGUCAUACUAUUUACAAACUCUUCUAUGUUUCCAUAUGACUACCUACUUCAAUGUCACGCGAGCCAUUCAGCUGGACACAUGGCACACUAGCUUGCAUGUCGAAUCCAUGAUUAAUUAUUUGCACUUGUGAUCUCUUACCAGUAUUUGUCCAGACUAGAAACGUGCAACACAUUUUUAGGAUAUGGACACGCAUAUAUUUGGACUAGUAUACAGGUCACCUUUGGAUGCGUACAAGGAUGACCGGGAGGGACUAAUGGAUACAAGGAAGGGACCAUCAGGAUUAAUAUUGACAUAUGCCACAUGACAAUCUUCAUUGUCAUGCAAUCCCUAUCAACAAUCAUGGAAUCCCUAGUGUACUAAUCCCUGGAGGGUUGUGUGGAAAUUUAUUUUACCUUGCGGUGAAAAUCUCAUGAGCAGUCAUUAGUUAAGCUGACUAGCUGAGAUAUAAUAGACAAGCUAGUAAGAUUGGGAGCAUCAAUGCAUCCAUACAGGGUCACAAUAUCCUUUCCAUUCACUUUUAUAUAUAACCCUACGAAUACAAGUCCAACGAAAUGCGGGCCUUUCGAUCAAGAUAAAUUAAAUGGCCCACUUGUAUUUCUAAUCCAGGAUUAACUAUGCCCUCUGUUCAUCUCUUGCAAGCACGUGCAACACAUUUUCACGAUAUGGACAUGCAUGGAGGUUAUUAUACUGUUUGGACAAACUCUGAUGUGCCAUGACCUAAAUGCUUAGGGCCUGUUUGGUUUGAGUUGCUUAUUAUAAGCAACUUAAAGUUGCUUAAAGUUGCUUAUUUGAAGUUGCUUAUUUUUAGUCUAAACUGUUUGGAUACCCUUGCUUAUGAGCAUUGAAUGAGUUGGACAUUGUCAAAUUUGCCCCAUGUGUUGCUACCCCUCCAAUUUGCCUCCCCACCCUUCUUCUUCCUGCACACGUCCGAUCCCGGGGGCCGACGGCGGGCAGGGAGCAGCAGCAGCUGGCCAGGGCGGCGGUGGGGCGGGAGCGGCGGCGCACACCAGCACGCGCUCGCACGCCAGGUGCUAGGGCGCGGCGAGGCAGUCGUCGUAGCCCACCGGGAGCGGGUGCUCGGGCGCGAGGCGGUACUCGACGGAGAUGCCGAGCGUCGGGCGCGCGGCGGCGAGCGCGUUGAGGAAGCGAUGGUAGUGCGGCGACGUCGCGGACUCCGCCACGAAGCCGCCGCCGUGGACGUACACCACCACGGGCAGCUUCGUCUUGCCGUCGGCGGCCGCGGCCGCGGCCUGGGGUGGCAGGUAGAGGCGGACGGAGCAGGAGCCGAGGUCGACGUCCCUGGAGUCGACGCCCGUGGCGGCGUCCAGGCUAGGCCCGACCGGCGGCGGCACGAGCGGGCGCUCGAUGCGGCCGCUCUUGUAAAUCCGACGGGUCUGUGCGGAGGCGGGCGGCGGGCGGGAGCGGCGGGUGGGAGCGGCGGCAGGUGGUGCGGAGGCCGGCGGCGGCGGGUGGCGCGGAGGAAGGGGAGCUGGUGAGUGGUGACAGGGGAGGGGGGGAGAGAGAGGGGGGGGUAGGGUGCAUUGAAUGAGGGCAGGAGGUGUAAAGUGCACCUUUUAGUCCCCAUGAGCAACCAUAAGCAGCCCAAGAGUUGCUUAUUUGCUUAUAAUAAGCAACCUCAUAAGCAAGAGUGAUUGGUUUCAUAAGCAACUUAUUUGCUUAUUUUAAGUUGCUUAUGCAUAAGCAUGUGAAACCAAGCAGGUCCUUAACCUAUGGUUGUGGCACCACACAGUACAUAGUAUUUAAUAAUGCUAUUCGUUUGGUAUGUGCACAAGGGCACGCAUGAAAUGUCUGGCCCACGGUAAACAAGUACGGACGCUGCAAAUAAUCUACUCUGCUCGUCCAGUCCCUAGCCUAUAAAUAGAUGCCAUGCUAGCUCUUGUUGUGCUCACAAUUAAUCCUGACUACACACGAGCUUCUCUCCCUGGCCAAGACACAAUCAUAGUAUGAUGAAGAACAUGGCACUAGCCGGCAAUGGUAUGAAGAACUUAAUCCUCGCUGUUCUCUUACUGUGUCUAGUUAUAGGGCAGAUACAAGUGGAAGCUAAGAGCUGCUGCCCAUCCAUUACUGCAAGAAAUAUCUACAAUGCCUGCCGUAUCACGGGUACAUCCCGUCCAACGUGUGCAAAACUGUCAGGCUGCAAAAUUAUCAGCGGGGACAAAUGCAAGCCCCCUAACGACCACCUCACCCUUGACCCGGACACUGGUAAAUAAUAAAUUUAUCUCACUUGAUUUCUUCGUGUUUUGAGUCGUUAAUGUAUUUUCCAUCUGAUGAAACGUAUUGGUUUUGCAUUGAAGAGGAAGUUAAUGUGCUUAACUUCUGCAAGUUGGGGUGUGCGUCGUCUGUGUGCAACAACAUCAACGCUGGUAAGCACCUUUUGCUCAGACGGAGAAAACAAUAAUCAUUAAUUAGCGGCAGCUAGAAUCCUAUAAUCUAAUAUAUUUAUAUAUAUAUAUAAUUUUAUCAGCUCUGGGAAAUGAAGAGGCGAACGAUGCCGUUGAGAGUUGCGACCAAGCCUGCUCUAGCUUCUGCAACGUGCACGUUGGCGCUGCCACCGUGGUUGCUUAAGCAAAUGCAUCCAACUGGAUCGUCCUUGUGCUAAAUAAUUGGAUAUCGUAUCCACUUAAAGCUGCCUUGUGUAGUACGUUUUUGUUUGUGUCUCUCUUUAUAUUCCAAUAAGGUCGGUGAUCUUGAUGCCACACACUCAGACGUGUGUUCAUCUCCAGAUACUACUCCAUGCUACCUGCCCUUUGUGUUUUGUUCAAUAACUGGGUAUCAUAUCCCAGCCAGUGUGCCAUCUGUUUUGUGUUUAUUUCCUUCUAGUUUCAAAGGGGUUAUCAUGAUGUUACCUUCUUUCGAUAUGGUGCUUUGCAUGACUACUGUUGUAUGGUACCAUCUUGUUGGCCAAUAAAUACAUCUUAUCCUAUGACCCUUUGCUAUGACCCUUUGCAAAUAAGUACAAGAUUGUUAAAUACUCGGUAUAAAUUGACUACUGCUGUGAGUUCCCUUUCAGCUUAUCGUAGGCAUACAUUAUUGCUAGCACGGUGAAGACAACCAACACGAAUGGUCAAGUAAACGUACCG